AAAAAAAAAAAAAAAAGAUAUCUAGAUGAUUUGGGGGUGUAACUGGAUUAUUAAGGGUUUAACUAAAAAAACUAUUUAAAAAUUAUUUUUGGUUACAUGCAAAAAUUCUUUAAUUUAUUGACUACAUUGGUGUUAUGUUUAAUUAAAGGGCGAACAAGGUGUUUUAUUUGAGAAUCGAGAAGGUGUAGAAAUGGUGAACAACAAUGGAUGACUACCCAAGAAAUUUGACUAGUGUAACACAGGGAUUCCUCAUACUUGUGUCUCAAAGUAAGGAGAGUUUUUUUUAUCUAUAAUAUUAUAUUUUGGACUGUUUCUAAAAUAAAAUAAAAACUGUUUCCAAAAUAAAAUAAAAAGUAGGUUGGUAAAGGUUAUUUGUCAUUUUGUUGUUUGUCUUCUUUCAUUUAUGCAAACUAAGAACUACAUGACGGCAAAGAUAAGGUAUCACCGCAAAAAAGUGCAUUAUUAUACAUAAAAAUGGAUUCAUCUAUCAGUGUUUUUUUAAAAUUUUAUGAAAUUCCGCAUACUUGAUCUAUUUAAAGUUACUUAGAACUAUGAUCUUAAAAGAAGAUUUAUAGAAUUCUCAUUCUAAAAAAAAACUUAAUAAGAUGGGAAUACUCCCACUCAUUCAGUUCAACCAUCAAAGUCAUUUUUAGCUUCAUGAAUUCCACCCAGUCUUUAAAUUCAAUUCAAUAAUCAGGGAAAUUUGAAACAACCAAAUAAAUACAUAACUUCAAAAUUUAAGCCACACACAAUUGAACCCAACAUCAGUACUUCUCAGCUACUGCUACUUCCAAGGUUGUCUGCAAACUCUACUCUGAAACCUUCCCAUUUGUCUUUCAACUUCUGCUGCUUUGACAGGGCAGCAGUAUAUGAAGAUUUAGACUUCUUAAUACUCGCCAUCAGCUCUUUGCCUUCGGUAAUCAUAUUCUUAGCCUCAUCUUCCACUUUCUUCUUUUCACCUUCACAUUUUUCCAUGCUCUCCUUCAACUUUGUUUUUUCCAACUCAAGAAUUUUCUUUUGCUCGACAAGUAUUCUAAUUUUUUCAUCCGUCUUUUCAACCUCUUCCUCGACACGCUUAGCUUCAUCCUCAAACUGACUCUUUUCUUUCUGUUUUGAUUCCUUCUGUUUCUUAGCAUCUGUCACUCGCUGCAUAAGCUUUUCUUUUUGUUGUAUAGCAUUAAUGUGAUCAUCAACCACAUUUUUAGUCAUGACAAAGUCUUCGAAAAGGUUCUCAACAGAGGAUGUCAUUUUCUGGACAAGCGUCACAACAUUAGGAGAAACGUUUUCAUGAGAUGCUUGUUUUAUGUAUUCAAAAGACAUAUGUAAUUGCUGCUGUAGCUCGACAUCACUGAGAAUGGACUCAAGUGAAUUUUUUAAUAGGCUUUCAAGGUUAUGCAAGGCUUCUCUUACAGCAACAUCGCUUGUGGAACAGGUUGCUUUUGGCGAGGACUCUGGACUUCCCAACAGGAUGCUAUCAAGUUCAGCAAAAGGGUCAUCAUCUGAUCCAUCUUCAUGUUUGCUAAGAUCUGUUAUUGGUGCAUUUUCUUUUUCUUGCUCUGGUUCACUUAUCAGAUCAUUGGUUUCAGGAACAAUGAUUUGUUCUCCUUGUAUGUUUGGUUUUUCUUCUGGAUUCUUGGUCUCAUCACAAUUGUCUGGCCUAUCGUAGUUGUUUACACUUGACUUGUUAUCAGAACUUUUUUCAACAGUUGACACUGGAGAUAAAUGCAAUGCAGCUUCAGAUUCAAUUGGUCUUCCUUCAUUUCCAGUGCUUUUGAACUGCACAAUGAAAAAGCAUUUAUCAAGACAAGAGCAAGUAUCUUCUAGAAAUUCAAUAACCAUAUUAUGUACUUUUAUUUGUUAGGAUUGUUCACAAGUCAUGAUUGCUUGUAUGUAUCUGCAUUCCAAUUUUAAUUUAAGGCUCACGAGAGAUAACAGACUAGAUUCUUCAAAUUUCUCUUUGAUAAAUGCCUGCAUAGGUUACUAUGAAAUCAACAUUUCAUUCUUAAUUCAUGCCGUGUCUUAAGAAUUGGGGGAAUAAUGGAAAGAAGAGGUAUAAUUUAAAAAAAAAAUGUAAUUGUUGGUUUUAAUUUAUGUUUUACUUCGACGUGUGAUGGAGCGAUAUCGGACAGAUAAAAAAGACUUACACUUAGUUUUCAUUGAUUUGGAGAACUAUUAUUAUCUUAUUGUUCCUUUGACAAAGUCGCAAAUAGAUGAUCCCAUUAUUUUGAAAAAGACAUUUUUUUCAAAUAUGGAUAAUGUAAAGACUAACUCAUACAUAAAAAAAUAGUUACAAAAACUAAAACAAAGCAGCAAUCAUCAAAAACAAAAAUUGCUUGAUUUGAAGGGGUGAAAAACUAUAUUUUACUAAGGAAAUACAGAUGACAUCAGAGCUGUAAAUUGUAUAUUUACUAUAGAUUCUUCAGUAGGCUUGGUAACUUGGGAUAUUUAAUAAGCUUUCAUUUUCCGUUUCUUAGCAUCGUUAUUAAGACACUAUUUGAAAAGAGUAAGAGGAUGAUUGUGAUAUCAUUAGCAGGGAUAUAGAGCUCGAAGGUCCAAGUAUUUACCUUAAUUGCUUUAUUGAAAGACGAUUCUACAUCAGAGCAUCCUUCAGAAGAAUCCCCCUUCUCAAAUUGUUCUUGUUUGUGUGAAGAAGUUUCGGUUUCCUCUCCAGACAUUGUACAAUUCUCAUAAAGAAUCUUAGAUUUCACCAUUUGUUUUGAAUUAUCAUCAUCAUCAUCAUCCAAAUUUUCUUUCUCUUGAGGAUUUUCAUGUACCUGAGUAUCUUUAGAGACUAGAAAAAAAGAAAUGCUGAGUUUGAUAGAAAAAAAAAUGAAUAUCUAAUUGAAGAAAAACAAAUAGAUGUAAUAUUGAAGUUUUGAAUUGUAAAAAAAACAACAAAAGAAAUAUAACAUACAACAUCUGUGAAAGAAUUUAAAAAGUUUCAUACCAAUUAAACAGUCAUAUGAACGGUGACAGUUUUCAUUCAAGUCCAAUUCUUGGUUCUGUAUGCCAGUGCCUUCCUUGUCAUCACCUAUUUCAUUUGAUUCAAUGUCAAUGCAUUCUCCCUCAUCACAGCCUUCAACUGAUCUCUCAAAUUGAAUUUCUUGGUACAACUCUAAUUCCAAGUCCUUGUCUAAAUUCCCAGUGCCUAAAACAAUCUGACUUUCUGACUUUCAAGUGUAGUAAUGUUAAUGAUCCCAGACCAUCAAAAAGGGUUUCUAACAUUGAUUUAGUUACUACACUGCACGUAGAAACCCGGAGUUCAGUAAGUGAUCUCAAGUGAGACAAUUCAAUCGGUAGAUUUGUUAGAUUUAAAUCUUCUAGAUUCAACAACCUAAGGUUGUUCAUGUCACCGAUUGAUGGGUGCAAUAUUUCUAUUCCGGUUUUGCUUAAAUCCAACCCUUUUAUUGAAUCUGAAGACAAUGAAAAUUCCUUCAGAUUCUUGCAGCCUUUGACACUGAAGUAUUUUAGAGAUGUUAAAUGCUUCUCACCCAUAAGACUUUCCAGUUUUAUGCACCUAUCCAGUAGCAAAGUAUGAAGUGUGUCCUUAGAAAAAGCAGAAGGUCGAAGUUCACAUAAUUCUUCACAACCGGAAAGGCGUAACUGUUUGAGUUUCAACGCCCCAGACAAAUCAGGGAGGUGGCGUAACUGUUUGCAUUCACUUAGGUCGAUUGCCUCUAGAUUCACAAGUUCCUGUACCAAUUCAAAAGGACACAUCAAAGGUUAAGAAUUCAUUUUCACACCAUGCAAGGGAAAAAAACACAACUGCAUGGGACUCACAUUAUUAAACCAUUUUUCUAAUUUUCAUUUGCAUAAAAAACGAAGAAAGAAUCCCAUAAUUCAAAUGAAUUAGUUUAAGUACACAAACACGCACCUGCAUCCCGUACCAAAGAUGUUCAAUGUUGCUGUGCGGCAAACAAAUCUGAAUCAGCUGCUCAGCAUGAAAAGGCUCUGGAAGAGACUUCAGGGGAUACCCAUUUCACUCAAGGUAUUUCAAUUUGUCAAAAAAUGGCAUAAUAUUUUCAGGAAGAUGCACAGUGCCCAAUUUCUUCUUACCCUUGGGGAUGUGGAAUUUAAGGAAUCUUAAUUUAUGCAUCAAUUUGAAUGCGUCAGCUUGAACAUGUAUAUCUACUUUUUGAGACAAAUCAAAUAUUAUUCCUUCAAUUGCAUCACUCCCCUGAUAAAUUGAAAGAAAUCACUACAUUGCCACAACAAAUCAACAGUAAUUUUUUACUUAGAAAAUGUUAACACUCCAUACCUUGUUAUUUCCAAGUACAUCGCAAAUGUCUUUAGCAUCCCUCAGUCGGCUACGCUUUCCUCGGUCAUUAUAUUCUUCUCUUACUAUAUCAAAGGCCAUCUUUUGUAGUAAGUCGUGCAUUUGUAUUCUGUCGUUGUUUGAGAUGGUUAUAAGAGUUUUAUCUUCGAGGAUUUCUAUCCCACUAGUUGCAUUGAAACCAAAGGCAUCUAGUAUCCUUGUGACGAUAUCUUUGUUUUCACCUUUGAAAAAGAAUGCAAUGUCUAGAAACAUUUCCUUCUGUCGCCAUGAUAAUCCAUUAUAACUUGUUCUUAGCACUUUUUGAAUAUCGGGGAAGGCUUCUCCUUUGUUCUCAUACAAAUUUAACUCGGAUUCCCAGAAUUCUUGUUUUCUGGAAUGAAAAUGUGAACCCAAAACUUCUAAAGCUAAUGGAACACCUCCUGCACAUUCAACUGCCCUUUCAGAGACACGCUCGUAACCUUUUAAAGGAUGGUCUUGCUUGAAGGCUCUUAAGCUAAAAAGCUUUAGAGAGUCUCUAAGCUUCCAUGUUUUGACCUCAUAUAUCUCAUCAACUUUUCCACCAAGUGUAUGCCUGUCUCGCGUUGUUAUAAUGAGUCUACUGUUAGGUCCAAGGUCACCAAGUACGCGACACAAAUCAUCUAACUGUGUCGUAUUAUUAACAUCAUCAAGAACAAUGAAAACUUUUUUGCGAAAGAGCCUCCUCGUGAUGAAUGUGUGAAGUCCGUGAACAUCAGACGCUGUAAUUUCUCGCUUCAGUAGCUCACGAAGAAGCUGAUUACAAACAUAUAUUGGUCCAAACUUUUCCGAGUCUUCGCUUAUCUUUUCCAAGAAGCAUACAUUGUCAUAAUGGGCAAAGUUCUUGGAAAACAUCUGUUUUGCUAUGGUUGUCUUUCCUAUUCCACUCAUGCCCCAAAUUCCAAUUCUUGGUAUUGUUUUCAAUAAUAAUUCAAUAUGUUCACUGUUCUCAUCAACUUUAACAAUAUCUUUCAGUUCAUUAGGGUACAUGAGGGCCAACUUCUGCAAAACAUCUUCCACAAUAUUGCCAAUGACUUGAGUAUCAUCUCUAGAAAAAUAAAGAAAGAAAGAAUAAACAAAUUAAACUUACAAGAAAAUUUCAAAUUUGGUAAGUUCCUAAAAUUCUAUAACAGGAUCAACCCAUCUACCAGAUCAUUGUGUUGGUGAACUGAUUAUGAUUCGACUGGACCUGAACAAGGAGACUAGCCCUUGACAUGUAGCAAGACAACUGUUUAUCUAUAUCUAUUAUAUCAUCAACAUCCAGAAUCAUCAUAUAUCAUUUGUUCAUCACAAAGUCAGCAUACAAUAUAACUAUGUACAGUUUCAAAAGUUACUUAGGAGUAUAUGUAAACAUAAGAAUUAAUAUGAGUUUAGAGGAAUUAAAUGGAAUACUUACCGAUAUUUGCGAGAGUCCCAUCCAGAUAUAUUGGCAGCCAAAUUGAGAGCAGCUUUCCACUCAGACACUUUGUCUACAUGAGAUUUACUGUGGGCAAGUUCUCUCUCAAAUCUUGCAAAUGCCAUCUGGUAACUCUCCUUCUGAUGACGUACAUGUGAUGGAUCUAUGUUAUAGAACACAGGUAUAACUACAUGUCCAUUAAGUUUUCUGCAUUGAAGUAUGUGGACGAGUUCAUCCAAGCACCACUUUGAAGUUGCAUAGUCUUUUGAGAAAACUACAAGAGACAUAUGUGAGUCAUCAAUUGCUUUGGUAAGAGCAGGUCCAACCUCAUCACCUUUAACAAGAUUGUAAUCAAUGUAUGAUUCGAUACUUCUAUCGCUAAGAGCUUGAUGAAGCUGGGCAGUGAAGUUUGUACGUGUAUCCUCUCCCCUAAAGCUAAUGAAUACAUCGUACUUUUUGUGAGAGAUACGCAUAUCUCAGAUACUCAAUUAGCUAUCACUACUUUAACCACUUUUUGUUUUUUUUUUUUUUUUUUUAUGUUCUCUCUUUGCUCUAAACAAAGGGAAGGGAAGAUACCAUAGUGAAGGGGUUUAUACAGAUGAUAAAAGACUUUAUAUGCAACUGUGUCAAACCUCUUGAGAGAGGGUUUUGUCGCCUAUUGUGAUCCUACCUAACACGAAGUAUUAAUCUCUACAUUGCUUUCCGGCAUACUAGUUAACACUAAAAAAAGAGUUCAAGAUUGUUGACCAUAAAAUAAAGCAGGGACCACUCGGGUAACGAGAGACGAGAAACACAAACAUGUGGGUACUACAGAUUUAUUAAAUUUUCGUACAUGUGCAAAGAAAAAUCAACAAAAGAAACUGGUUUUGUUUUCUUGCUUUUCAAGAUUACCCCUUUUCCACUCUUAAGUCAAUGCUUCUGCUGUAGUGUGGACUGCGUCCAUCAUAGAUAUAUUAAAGAUAUGGAGCAUUAUCCACCACCCAAUUUAAAGAAUAGUAGUAAAAUAAUAUCACUCUCCUUUGUUUAAACUACAAUAAAUUAAAUUAUUAUAGGUUAACACACCCCAAGAACCCCUCCACUCCCAACUUGUCAAGACUCAAGACUAUUGGUAAAAGAUGCAUGGUAGUUGUUCUGCUACUACUAUUCUUUAAUAGUAGUUCCCUUUCCUAGACAAAGAGAAGGAAGAUAAAAACCGGUAGAGAAGGGGAAAAAUAUAUGUGUUGGUCCCCCACCAAAACCUUUCUAAAACAAAAAUCAACUUUUUAGGUUCAUCGAAUAAAUGAUGUAUUUGGUCAAUAAUAUAGACUAAAUACAUCAUUUAUUGAAUGAAUCUAAAACGUUGAUUUUUGUUUAUAAUACUGCAACUAUAUCGGUUUAAUUCCCACUUUCAGGGUCAUGCCAAUAGAGGAAAAAAAAAAAAAAAAGGACAAUUACUUGUGAAUAUUGAUGCAACUCAAAUAUGUAUAUAUCAAGUACAAAUAAAAAUUUGAGUUUUAGGACGAGAAGAAAGAGAAAUUUGACAAUGAAAAUUUGGUUCCCGAUACUCGAUAGACCUUCUAUUACUAAGAGGAGUAAACACUGUUCUGAAAGAACCAACAAAUCCUACAAGAUUGAAGAGGAUUUUAGGUACAGUCAAAUCUAAGAGAUGUGGUCAAUAGGACACAAUAAAAGAACAUGUAACGAUAAUAAUUGAAGGGGAAGUCAUCAGGUCACAUGCUCACCCAGUUUUUUUAUCUUUUUAAUUUCUAAAUUUUUUUGAUAUCCAAACACGUCAUGGAUGCUCAAAUUGAAGAAAAAACCGUGUGAUGUACUACGAAAUUGGAAAUGGGGACUAAAAUUGUUUAAAAAUAAAUAAAUAGGCCAAAGUCGCACACGAUUAGGAAAAUAAGGGGAGCAAAAGUCUAAUUGAGCCAAAAAAUUAUAUGAUAGAAGAGGUAUCCAUUAUAGUAAAUAAUAAUCCAUAAAUUGUGAAGGCUUGUUUGAUUUUGUUGACACAAGAGGUAUCCAUUUAGUCUAGCCAAUAACAUUUAGUUCAUUCAUAGCCGUUGUGGGAGUGGGACUCACCACACACAUUUGAAUCCAACAUCAAUACUUCUCAGCUACUGCUACUUCCAUAGUUGUCUGCAAAAUCUACUCUGAAACCUUCCCAUUUAUCUUUCAUCUUCUGCUGCUUUGACAGGGCAGCAUCAUACGAAGUUUUAGACUUCUUAAUACUCGACAUUAGCUCUUUGCUUUCAGUAAUCUUAUUUUUAGCCUCAUCUUCCAAUUUCUUCUUUUCAUCUUCGUGUCUUUCCAUGCUUUCCUUUAACUUGAUUUUUUCCAACUCAAUACUGUUCUUUUGCUCAACAAGUAUUCUAAUUUUUUCCUCCACCUUUUCACCCUCUUCCACGAGACGCUUGGCUUCAUCCUCAAACUGACUCUUUUCUUUCAUCAUUGAUUUCUUCUGUUUCUUACCAUCUCUCAUUAGCUGCACAAGCUUUUCUCUUUUUCGCAAAGCAUUAAUGUGAUCCUCAACCACAUUUUUAGUCAUGACAAAGUUUUUGGAAAGGUUCUGAAUAAAGGAUGUCAUUUUCUGGACAAGCUUCACAACGUUUGGAGAAACUUUUUCAUUGGUUGCUAGUUUUAUGCAUUCCAAUGACGUGUGUAAUUGUUGUUGUAGCUCUACGUCAUAGAGAAUGGACUCUAGUGAAUUUUCAAAUAGGCAUUCAAGGUUGUGCAAAGCUUCUUUUACAGCAACAUCAUCACUUGUGGAACAGGUUACUUUUGGCGGAGACUCUGGACUUCCCAGCAGGAUGCUCUCAAGUUCAGCAAAAGGGUCCUCAUCUGAUUCAUCUUCAAAGUUUCUUAGAUCCAUUGGUGAAUUUUCUUUACUUAUUGGAUCAGUGGUGUCGGGAACAAUAACCUGUCCUUGUAUAUUUGGUUUUCCUUCUGAUUGCUUGGUCUCAUCAAAAUUGUCUUUCCCAUCAUAGUUGUUUUCACUUGACUUGUUAUCAGAAGUGUUGCCUUCAAACGCUGACAUUACCGGCAGAUACAAUCCAGCUUCAGAUUCAGUUGGUCUUCCUUCAUUUCCUUUGCUUUCGAACUGCACAAUGAAAAAGCAUUAGUCAAGGGCUCAAGGCAAGAGGAGUGGGUGUACUAUAGGAAUUAAAUUAUAACUGUAUUAUGUUUUAUUAGAUACAAUGUUAGUCAUACAGUCAUACUGGUUAGUUGGACUAAUUAGUUAGACUAGUUAGUUGUUCUCAUUUUCUAUAUACUUAUCUUUACUUUACUCUCAUCUAUGAUUUCUAUCAAGAAUAGUAACAUGUACUUUUAUUUGUUAGGAUUCAUCAUGAUAGCUUGUCUAUAUUUGUGUUCUAGUUUUGUUAUAAUGUUCAUAAGAGAUAGGAGACCAGAUUCCUUUUUUAUUUGUGUAAAGUAAGGCCGUCUUUGAAGAAUUUGCAAACAGUACCCACAAGCUAAUUUUUACUCCACUUGCAAAUUUACGACUGUGGCUAAUUUUCAUGCGAUGUUUGGUAAAUUACCCACAAUUCUUAAAGGAAACUUAGAAAAAACCUUUGUCUAAUGAUAGGAGGUAACUCUUCAACUUUCUUUUUGAGAAAUGCCUUGUAUAUUGUUGGUUAUUAUGAAAUAAUUUCAUUCUUAAUGCCUGCAGUGUCUUAGGAAUUGGGUGAAUAAUGGAAAAAAUGAGGACUAAUAUGGAGAUAUCAUUAAAAUACACCUAGGAAAUCUUAGACCUAGACAUAGGGUAAUAUUGAAUGAUGCAGUAUUACAAAACUAUUUCAUUAUUACAGCAAUCUUAUGAACUCAAAAGAGGAAGGUGGAUAACAAUUGAUGGAGCAUUUAUAAAGAAUAAUUUACUCUCAUUAUCGUAGAUGCCUUAAAUUCCUAGUCUGAGUCUUAGGGUCUGUUUGGGAGGAGGUUUUUCAGGGUUUUGGAGGGCUAAGUCUAUAUAUUUUGAAAUUAAUUUGAUAUUUUUAAAAAUUAAAAACAUGAUAAAUGAUCAUAUAGUACUUCAAUCGCAUUAAUUUCUUUUAAAAAUAUUUUAUAGGUCCGUAUUUUAAAAAUGAAAAGCUUGCCCUCCUCACCAAAACCCUCCGUCCAAAUCCUCAUGAUUCCUUUACCAAGUUUAUUGAUUAUUAUUUACUUUUACUUUGCAUUCUGAUUCCAUUGAUUCGUCUCCUUUUGACCCGCACAAUCUAAUAAUUAUAUUGACAAAAAUGACAGCUGAAAAUGAUAUGAUAUAAUUACAAAAUGUGAUGUUAUAUUUUUGCAUAUUUUGACACUUUUUCCUAUAAAAAUGACAAAGUUUGUCCAAAUAAAAGUAGAGACUUACGACUUUUGCGGAAUUUGUAAUAUUCUCCUCAUGACUGGUUCCAGCAUUGGUAUUGGUUUCGUUGUUAGAAGAUCUGAUGCUCUUUUCCACAUUAAAGAAGUGACUUUCAAGUUCAACUGAUUCUAGUUUAACCAUUGCUGAUCUUUGUUCUGUGACAUAAGCAACGAAAAUUAUAAGUAGGUGAAAACAUAAAUUCCGUAAAAAAAAAAAAAAAAAAAAAGCAAAAGAGAAGGUGAAGUGUUGGGAUUAGAAUCAGUUGAUUUCUCCUACUUAUAAUUUAUCACUGGUUCAACCAGCUCUGAGUCUAAUUCUGUGAUUAAAAACAAUGAAAGUGAAAAUUUGGCCAAAAGACCCGGUGUUCAAUUUACAAAAUAAUAAGAACUACCUAGCUAGUGAUUAGUUAAUGAUAAUGAGAUAAAAAAAGGACUCAAUUUCAAUUUAAUGAAGUAGUAGGAAACUAUGAAUAAGAAUAGCAUAGCAUAUAUGAUGAGACUAGGGAAAGAGAGUAAUUAAGAAGAGAAUGUAUUGUCAAAAAUGAAGUUGCAAACCUUGAACAAUUGGCUUCAAGGUUAUCCUACGUCCUGAUUCUAAUUCCACCGCCUUCUUCAACUCUUCUUUCUUUUGUGAAUCCAAUUCCGGCAAAACACUCUCCAAUUCUUGAACACUUACUAGUCGUACCCCACACUCUUUAAUACCAACUGAACCAUCAACUUCCCGGCCAGUAUCGUUUGUAACAUAGAACUCGAAACAAAUCUCGGGUUGAUAAAAUUUGAGAAUACUGUCACAAUGGAAUGGAUCAUACCACACAUAAACAUGAUCCGAGUUCAGUUCUGUGACAUCAGUAUUUAGCCAGGUAGCUUUUAUACCUUCUUCUCCCAAGUUGCAUUGACACUUUAUCCUAGCUCCUCCACCCUUCAUUCCAUUUCCACCUGCUGGAGAAAGAACCACUGAGUAUAUGAAUCCCAGCAAGUUGGAACGAUCAGGAAGCAAUGUAAUGGUAAUGGAAGAGUCAGAAGCUGUUAGACAUUGGAAUAGCCUCGGGAUACUUGUUCCUAGUUGACAAGCAUCAACACUGUUAUAGUUGUAGCUGCGGACGGCCACACGGAGUCUUCUUACAGACACAUUAUGAAACACAGCACUCAUCAUUGUUAAAUUGAGACUUUCCAUUAUAAGUCCAAGUGAAUGUCCGUCCAAAUUCAAGCUGUUGCUGAAUGAAAUAUGUUUGGUUUUUCCGAUCAUCUUUGUUGCUAAUUUUUUUAGAUUUGACACUGAAACCAGCGAUGUGCAGUUAACUGCAUUUAACAGUGUGAUUAGAGGUGGAAGCUCUGGUAUGCACUCAAGCUUCCUGCAAUUCACCAAAGACAAAAUUUCCAGUUCUUCAAGUUUCUUAAUGCUUUGAGGCAACAUUUUCAUGUUGCUUCCAUCAAGGUUUAAUUCCAUUAACUUUGAUGCAACGUGGACGUUGUUGGGGAGUUCAAACUGGUUUAUAAAAUCCUUCAUAUGUAGUAUUUGUAGGGAUUGUAAGCCAUCAAACAACUCAUGUAGCUGUUUUUUCUCAACUAUUAGUCUACUGCCAGAAAUCUUCAAUUCCCUAAUAGAUCUCACACUAGAUAACUCCUUCGGAAUACGGUUGAGUCUUAAACUCUCUAGAUUAAGUUGUUUGAGUUUUUGAAGACGUCCAAUUGAUAGGUCCAGUGUUUUGAUUCCUGUACUGCUUAAAUCCAAGUUUUCAAUUAAAUCCGAGGACACUGCAAAUUCCUCCAGACUUUUGCACCCAUCCACACUGAUCUUCUCCAAAAAAUUUAAAUGUUUUUCACCUCUAACCCUCCUAACCUUUGUACACCUAUCCAGUAUCAAAGUAACAAGUGUAUCUGCGCAUAAAACAGAUGGAUGAAGAUCAACCAGACUCUCACAACCAGAAAGAUUAACCCAUUUCAGACUUGACGCCUUAGAAAAAUUCGGAAGCUUUUCAAAUUGCUUGCAUUCACUAAGGUCAAUUCCCUCUAAUUUACCCAGUUCCUGUGAAUUUCAAAACAACGUAUUAAGAUGCAAACUCUAAAAACAAAACAUGUGAUUACACGUGUAUGUAUUACCUUCGUCCCCUGCCACAGUUGUUUAACAUUGCUGUGCGGCAUACGGAUCUCAACAAGAAACUUGGCAUAAAAAUGUUGUGGAAGAGAUUCAAAAGGGUAUCCAUUCCACUCAAAAUACCUCAGUUUAUUUGAAAAUGGCUCAAGAAAUUUGGGAAGGUUGAGGUAUGUGUUAGUACAUCUCUGCAGGUUAGAGGGUGCAUGGAAUUUAAGAAUUCUUAAGGCUUUCAUCUUGGUGAAUGUGUCGGCACUUAAAGGCAAAUCAUUAUUUUGUGACAAAUCCAAUGUUAUGCCUUCAAUUGAGCUACUCCCCUGACAAGAGAAGAAAGUAAAUGUAUCCAAUCAAUUAGCUACAUUAACUAAUUUGUAUUAGAAAUUUAGCUAUGUUGAAAAGUGUAUGUUUUUCAUUCCCUUACCUUGUUUUCUUCAAUAACUGCACGAGCUUUACUCCCACUCAGUCGGGUAUGUGCUGCCGGGUCCUCGCCACAAUCAUUACAUAUUAUGUCCGAACCCAUUUUUUGCAGUAAGUCAUGCAUUUGUAUUGUUUGGUUAUUUGAGAUAGUUAUCAAAGCCUUGUCUUUGAGGACUACUAUUCCGCUAUUUGGUUCGAAACCACAAGCAUCUAGUAUCUUUGUGACAGACUCUUUCUUUUCUCCUAUGAAGAAGAAUGCAAUGUCUAGAAAUAUCUUCUUCUCUAGUGCAUCUAGUUCAUCGUAACUCACUUUUAAAACUUUGUGCAAUUUGUCAUCACGAUGAUCAUCGAGUUUCUUAAAAGAACUUUCCCAAAAUGCAAUAUCUCUUGUACGAAGAUGUAAAGCCAAAAGUUUAAGGGCAAGCGGAACGCCCCCUGCAUAAGUGAUUGCCCUUUGCAAAAGAUGCUCAUACUUCUCUCGGGGAUUACUUGGCUCAAAGGCUUCUAGGCAAAAAAGCUCUAGAGAUUUUGGAUAUUCCCACUGCUUGACCUCAUAUAUCCAAUCAACUCUUCCACUCAGCAACUGUCUGUCUCUCGUUGUUAUAAUGAGUCUACUAUCUUUAUUUAGCUCGCCGUAAUCUCUGCACAAAUAUUCAAACUGAUCUAAGCUGUCCAUAUUAUCAAGUACAAUCAAAACUUUUCUACUUCUCAGCCUCCUCAUAUGAAAUGCAGAUCCUACAUUAGAUGGGGAAAUUUCUUCCUUUAGUAGCUCAGAGAAAAGCUUACUAAGUGAAUAUUCUUUUGCAUUAGCAAAGCAGACAUGAUCAUAUUGGGCAAACAGCUUGGCAAACAAGACUUUAGCAAUGAUUGUUUUUCCCAUUCCACCCAUACCCCAAAUUCCAAGUCUUGGAAAACGUUCCACCAAUGAUUCAACCUGUUCACAGUUUUUUUCGUUUCUCACUACACCUUCUAGUUCAUUAGGGUACCUCAGUUGUAGCUUUUGCAAUACAUCAUUCACAAUUUUGUCGAUGAGGAUAGAUUCUUCCCUAGCAUAACAUAAAUAAAUAAAAGAAUAAACCACAGAAAGAAAGAAAAAAAUAAUUAAACUAAUCAUCAUAAACAAGAUUCUAACAAACGGUUGAUUUCUGCAGUGCUCCUUACGGUUUUUUCCUGUUUUACCAAAGUGAACAAAAAUCAUGGAAACAGCCCCAACAAAAUGUCGUCACGCCGCGGAAAAACUUAAUUUCCCAUUGUUUCUACCCUAUUUCGUAAUUUAAAUUCUUUUCAUAACUUAUUGAUGAAUUUGUUUCUUCUAAAAACCAAAUUAACCACUAAUAAAUCUAGGUUUUAAUGUUUUUAGAAGAAACAAUUAUGAAAGGAAUGACAAUUAUGAACUUACGAAGAAACAAUAAGAAAUUGAGUCAUUAAACAUUAUAGGAUAGCACAAAUACUUUUGAUAAGAUUUGUGCAUUGUUGUGAUUAACUCACACCACAACGACCGCAAUAUGUAAUGCAGCAUCCUUAACAGCCGAAAUCACAAAAUACAUAACGCUACCACGACCUUGACCGUUGUUAAAACCUUGAUUCAUAAAUAUCUGAAACAAAAUCAUAAAACACUGCUUACUUGUGGGUUUGAGUGUGCCAUCCAGAUAUAGUGGCUGCUUCAGCCAAGGCAACUUUCCAGUUAAGCACUUUAAGAUCAUUGGUCCCAAGAUCUCGCUCAUGUUUUGCGAAUGCAUUCUCAUAACUGCCAGUCUGAUUUCUUAUGUCAGAUGGAUCUGUUUUAUAGAAAACAGGUAUAACAACUUGACCUUUGACUUUUCUGCAUUCCAGUACUUUGACCAGUUCUUCCAAACACCAUGUUGAGGUAGCAAAAUUUUCAGAGAAAACAACGAUGGAAACAUGUGAUUCCUCAAUUGCUUUGGCAAGAGUUGGCCAAAUAUCUUCUCCUCUUUCAAGCAGGCUAUCCACGUAUGUUUUGAUUGAUUUAUGAAUCAGAGCAGCGUGAAGAUGGCUAGUGAUACCGUAGCGAGUGUCCUCGCCUCUAAAGCUAAGAAACACAUCGUGCUUCUUGCUAGAAUAUGACAUAUAUAUGCUAUAUAGCUAUAUACCCUUGCUUAGACGCUGCUUUUCUCUAUUGAAAGUUGUUUGGGUUGAAAAUGUGACUAUUAUGUGUUCCUUCAUCUUCCUCCAUUACCCUUAAUUCUUUAAUAACAACUCAACUUUUUAUAAUAAGUCCAUUCUAUGGUGUACAAGUGAGACAUGUUUUGCAUCUUGCACAAAUCGAUAUCUACCAUUGGAUCAAUAAGUCACCAUUGAAUCAUUCUGUGUCAUGCACAAAUUGAUUUCUACAAAUUUAAGUAUAAUAAUGUAUUAAAAUAUAGAAAAAUAAAAACAUAGUCAACUACAAACACCCCAAAAACAAAAUUACAAAAACACACCAAAACUAGUACAUGUAACAAAUACAAAUAUCAACAAAAUUCCACAACAAGAAUUGAGAAUAUCCUCAAAAAUACUCUUCCACUUCCAAACUUUAAUAAGGUGUAAGUUAACAACUAACACUUUAACUAAAAACUCAAGUACUCCCUCCGGUCAUUAUUAUAAGCAAAACUCCACUUUUUAGAUACAUUAAAUAGUUAAUGUAUCUAGUCUUUAUCAUAGAUUAAAUACAUUAAUUAUUUAAUGUAUCUAAAAAGUAAAGUUUUGCUUAUAAUAGUGACCGGAUGGAGUAUUUCUUUUCAAACUAGUUUAAAUUAAAGGAUAAUAAAGUAAUUUAAUUCUUUAAUACAUACAAUUAAUUAAUUUGCAACUUCCCAUCAUGCUUCUUAAAAAUUACACUUCAAUAUUUUCAAAUACUGUUCAUUUUAGAUGUUUAAUGUGCUACAAAUUUUUCAGGAGAACCUGUUGACUUAUCUUUUGGUCAAACUCUACGAAUCGGAUGCUUAACACACAAAAAAACAUUCUCUAUUUUUUGUAUUUAAUUCCUGAAUAUAUAAGAAAAGUGUAGCAAUAAUUGAUUCCUAACUUGUAUCAAUGAAGCAAGCAUACCAAUUAAGAACCCGAGCAACUAGUGCGAGAAAAUCAACAAGUAGCAGAGCAAGAGAAGAGAAGCAACGAAUUUCAUGCAAUUAGAGAGAGAGAGAGAGAGAGAGAGAGAUUAACCUCUCUGUGAGCUUCCAUGAGAAUGAUGAUUGCAGAGCUGAGCAAGAGAAACGACAAUGGCGCGAAUGCAGAGCGAGGGAAACGAAAGCGUUUGCGGUGUUUUUAUGUGAAAAAGAUUUACAAAAAUACCCUCUAUAUUAAUGCAUUAUUAUACUUCAAUUUCGACGCGAAGACUUAGGGUCGUCGCUUAAAAUUUAUCAUAACAUUAAUCAAAGUCAAUGAAAACUUUAUAAUAAAAAAUUGAAUUAAUUUUUAGGCUUAAUUGCACUUUUCUCCCAUAUGGUCUUCCAAUUGUGCGAUUUUGCACCCUAUAGUUUUAAACGAGCGAUUUUGCCCCCUAUAGUUUUCCCCAUUUCUGAUUUUAUGGUCCCCAUGACAUUUAGUGCUGGUUUUUUUAUCAAUUAAUGUGUGCCACGUGUGUAAUUCCAUUUUAAAAAAAAUAAAAAAUAGUAUUUUUCAGAUUUUGAGAGAAGGAGCACAUGAUUUUUCAGAUUUUAAGAAGAAAUAUCACGUGCCUCCUUCUCUCAAAAUCUGAAAAAUACCAUUUUUUUUUUAUUUUUAAAAAAAUGGAAUUACACAUGUGGCACACAUUAAUUGAUAAAAAAACAGACAUUUCAGCACUAAAUGUCAUGGGGAUCAUAAAAUCAGAAAGGGGGAAAACUAUAGGGGGCAAAAUCGCUCGUUUAAAACUAUGGGAUGCAAAAUCGCACAAUUGGCAAACUAUAGGGAAGAAAAGUGCAAUUAAGCCUAAUUUUUAAUGCAAAAAUAUUGUUUUUUACUGCAACCACCCUUUAAGUAAAAUAAAGCCAUGUGAAGGAGACAACAUAUUGACUUUUGAAUGGAGAAAAAGGAGAUUAAAAUUUAAAAUUUAGGUUGUUUAGUAUUUUUCAAAUAAAGUAAGAUAAAAGACACCUAAAGUACACUACUUUAUUGUUAAAUGUCGUACUCGUUAAGAAAUCAAAUAAUGAAUGGUACAUGUGCAUUGAUUAUACAACGUAAUGCGUUUUAGAUUCAAAAAUAGAGGGGCAAAAAAAAUGAUGAAGAAAGUCUUUAAAUACGAAACUGAGAAUAUGCCUAAAAUCUAAAUGGAUACAUUAUUGUAAACCUAAAGAAAAUGUAGAUCAUACCAUCCAUCUCAAGGAAAUUUCUAACAAAUCAAAAAAUAUAAUAUGUGUCUCAACCAGGAAAAAAAAAUGUAAUGUUUGGAAUCCACACGAAUAAGUUCCUCGGAUUUUACUUAAUCGAAAGAGGGAUUGAAGCAAAUUCGGAUAAAUGCAGAGCUUUCAUUGAGAUACCUACUCCAAAGAAAUCAAUCUAAAUGUUGGAAGACGUCUAAUAUGCCCCUCCUUUCUACAGGUUGUUGAGGAAGGAAUCUGCAUCUGAAUGGUCUGAAGAAUGCGAAUUUGAAGCGACUCUAGCCCGACUUAAACAUGCCCUAUCUCAAAUACCAAUUCUCUAAUGAUCCAAAAAGGGAGAGAUAAUGUUCAUAUAUCUAUCAAUUUCGGCAAAAGCAAUCAAUGAGCCUUGAUUAGAGAGAGCGACAGAGGUCAAAAACUCAUCUAUUUCACCAACAAAGCAUUACAAGGACCUGAAAUACGGUAUAUCAAAAUAGAAAAGUAGUCCUCACCCUAGUGAUGACCACAAGACAAUCAUACAAAAACUCAAAGAAAAACACAAUCUUACAAAAAUCUUUUCAUUCACUCUAAUAUUACUAAUAAUCAUUAUGGUUGAUGAUUAUUAACAAUCUUUCUUCUAACUAGUUACCCGCACUUGCCUUCAAGACAAUUAGUUAAAAGACAUGUUUGUAUAUUCACAAAUUUAUAAAACUAAAAUGAGUGAUGAUCAUAUAUGAGGGAAGACCCUUUAUUUCAAGUGUUGCUUUGUGGUGAUGUGGUCUUAGUUUUGUUAUCUUUACUCUUGAAUUUGUAUUGAAUAUGUUCAGUUUGUUAUAGAAACUGAAUUUGAGAUAUGUGACGGUGCAUAUCUAUUAUGAACGUGUUUUUUGAUAGGGGUGUUCAAAACCGAACCAACCUAAUAGAAAAACCUCAAAUCAAAUCAAUCCAAAUCGAAACCGCAAAAAACUGCAUUUGGUUCGGAUGAAUUCGGAUGACUUUUGCACUGAAUCGUGCGGUUUCGUUCGGUUUUUGGUUUGCAUCUUAGCAACCAAACCAAACCAAACCAAACCGCAAGAAUAAUGAAUAUUACUGAAACAUGUACUAGCCCAAUUACAUAACCCAAGAAUAAUCUCUUUUGAUUCGAUUUUUCCAUUGUUGCAUGCUUAUGUUUCUUCUUAAUUUUACCUAUUUUUGAUAUAAGUUUUACCUAAUAUUUUAUCAUAUAAACAACAAAACGAAAUGUCCUAUGUUUAUUUUGAAACAAGUUGGCAAUAUUAGAGUUAAUGUAAUAUUUUUUUAUCUUGCGAUAAAGCGCACAUACCGAACCAAUCCAAACCGCAUUGCUUUGGUUUGGUUUGAUUUUGGAUGACUUUUUAAAAAUCAACUUAACCAAACUAAACCGCAUGUUUUUUUAUCUCGCAGUUUGGAUUACUUUUAUGCUCAAAACCGAACCAAGCCGUACCGCGAACACCUCUGUUUCUUGAUGUUAUGCAUAGUUGGGUGCUUAAUUCAUAGUUCGUUGGUGCUAAAAACAUAAAGCACAUCAAUGCUUUCUAGAAUCCGUACAUGGAGAUGAGGUAGUUUCAUGCGAUGACGUCGAAGUAGAAAUCGUACCGGGUCAUUCUAAUGAUCUUGAUGCGGACUUCCCUGCUAAAUAGUUUAUGAGAUGAUUGGGUCGAACCUUUUAGGCCAUACCAUUACAUCCAAUGAUGUUCCAAUCAUAUAUAAAGGAUAUAUUUACAUGUAUGAAGUAUGAUUAUCAAAAUACUACAUGAUUUAAAGGAUAUAUUUGUAAAAUGGGAAAUUCUUUGUUACCCAUCUCACUAUGGUGGGUAUUUGUACCCAUGACAUUUUAAGUCGGUUAAAAUGUUAACUGACGUCAUAAGAUUUUUUUUUUUUUAAUUUUUUUUUAGAAACGAGAUUUUCUUUGAUACCAGAGUUUUAGCAGAAUGCAGAAGACUUUUUCUAUAGAAAAAUUUAAAAUCUUUUGUUUAGUUUUUCGAGUUGUAGAGACAACUUGAGCUUUGUAAUUUAUUUAUCUCUUUUUGUUCUGAGAUUUCAAAAUCUCUUUUGGGUGGUGUUACUCUAAGGCUUUAAUCCAUGAUCGAUGGUUUUUCUGUUUCUUCAAAUAUAUAUUUCUCAGCUUCUAUCAAGGAAAAACUAUUUCUUGCUAAAUUUCUAAAUAUAGGUGACUUUAGGGUAACUAAAGGUGUAAAUAAUUCAUCAAUAUGAAUUGUAUUUUUUCCUAUAAAUUCUAUGCUAUGGUGUGAAUUACUCAAAGAAUAAUUAAUUCUAUAACAUAUUGUAAAAGGAUGAUUACCCUUUUUCAUAAAAUUCGAGUUUUCCAACUUAUAAUGAAAAACUAUAGAUCUAUCUAGAUCUUUAUCUUUUUGGGAUAAUCCCAUUUGUAAAUUUAUAUCAAAUUUUAUUUUUCCAUAUUUUAAAUUACACUUUACGUGUGCAAUUGUUGCUUGUCUUUUGUCUAAAAUCCUAGAGUCUUCUAGGGCUAUUUCUAGAGGUGAAUCAAUACAUUUCAUAAAGAUACUUUUGAUUAAAAUUUGAAUAAUUGAUAUAUGAAUAUAACCACUUUUUCUUUUUUGUUUUUCAGAAAAUGUUUCAAUUCUUUUUUCAAUUUGAGUUUUUUGUAUGGUAGAUAUGAAUAUAUUUCCUUGAGUAUUUUCAAUUGAAAUUUCUUCUUCUUCUAUCAUUAUUCCAAAUUUCAAAAUACUUUUUCUUGAGAAAAAUUCUUUGAAUUUAUUAAACUUUCUUUUGAAAUUUUCUUCAGCAGUUAAAGAUAAAUCUGAUUCUUCUAUCUUAUUAUCUAUUAUGUCAUCAGCAUAAUAACUAGAUGUUCCUUCAAAGUAUGAAACCUCGAUCAUAUUCUAUGUUGUUUAUUAUGUCAAUACUAUGAUACUGAAAAGUAAAUUUUGAAUUUAAUAAAGAUAUAUUCAUACCUGAUUUGAUUUUCUUUGAGAUUUUGUUGAUAUUUUUGGUUUCGUUGUAGUUAGAUAUAAUAAUACCCUGUUUUUCCAAUUUUAACUUCCUUAUGCCCAAAUUUGAUCCAAAAACUUUUCUAACCAUUUCUAUACAUGUUAAGGCACUCAAAACCAUAUAAAACAUUGCACUAAAAAUAACUCAUGAUCUGAACAUCACUUCUACCAAAUUCAACGGAUUUUCUACUCUAUUAACAACCAAUUACAACUUCAAAACCUAAUUCUCAAAUUCUCAUAACUACAACCUACAACAUGCAAAAUUCAAUUUCAGAAUUAUACAACGUAGAAUUAGAGAAAGUUAGUCUCACCCUUACAAAAUAUAAUCAUUCGAAGAUUAUAUCUAGCUACAACGAAACCAAAAAUAUCAACAAAAUCUCAAAGAAGAUCAAAUCAGGUAUGAAUAUAUCUUUAUUAAAUUCAAAAUUUACUUUUCAGUAUCAUAGUAUUUACAUAAUAAACAUUAUAGAAUAUGACUGAGGUUUCAUACUUUGAAGGAACGUCUAGUUAUUAUGUUGAUGACAUAAUAGAUAAUAAGAUAGAAGAAGCAGAUUUAUCUUUAACAGCUGAAGAAAAUUUCAAAAGAAAGUUUAAUAAAUUCAAAGAAUUUUUCUCAAGAAAAAAUAUUUUGAAAUUUGGAAUAAUGAUAGGAGAAGAAGCAAUUUCAAUUGAAAACACUCAAGGAAAUAUAGUCAUAUCUACCAUACAUAAAACUCAAAUUGAAAAAAGAAUUGAAACAUUUUCUGAAAAAGAAAAAAGCAAAAUUGGUUAUAUUCAUAUAUCAACUAUUCAAAUUUUAAUCAAAAGUACCUUUAUGAAAGGUAUUGAUUCACCUCUAGAAAUAGCGCUAGAAGACUCUACGAUUUUAGACAAAAGACAAGCAAAAAUUGCACAAGUAAAAUGUAAUUUAAAAUAUGGAAAAAUAAAAUUUGAUAUAAAUUUACAAAUAAGAUAUCCCUAAAAGAUAAACAUCUAGAUAAAUCUAUAGUUUUUCAUUAUAAGUUGGUAAACUCGAAUUUUAUAAAAAAGGGUAAUCAUCCUUUUACAAUCUGUUAUAAAAUUAAUUAUGCUUUGAGUAAUUCACACCAUAGCAUAGAAUUUACACCAUAGAAUUUAUAGGAAAAAAUACAAUUCAUAUUGAUGAAUUAUUUAAACCUUUAGUUACCCUAAAGUCACGUAUAUAUAGAAAUUUAGCAAGAAAUAGCUUUUCCUUGAUAGAAGCUGAGAAAUAUCUAUUCGAAGAAACAUAAAAACCAUUGAUCAGGAAUUUGAGCCUUAGAGUAACACCACCCAAAAGAGAUUUUGAAAUCUCAGAACAAAAAGAGAUAAAUAAAUUACAAAGCUCAAGUUAUCUCUACAACUCAAAACUAAACAAAAGAAUUUAAAUUUGUCUAUAGAAAAAGUCUUCCGCACUCUGCUAAAACUCUGGUAUCAGAGCAAACCUCGUUCCUAAAUAAAUAAAUAAAUAAAUUAAAAAAAUAAAAAUAAAAAUAAAAAAAUCUUAUGACGUCAGUUAACAUUUUAACCGACUUAAAAGGUCAUGGGUACAAAUACCCACCAUAGCGAGAUGGGUACACAAGUUGUCACCUUGUUUUAUUGUUGGACGUGAUUGCCACUUAGUUCAAAAACAUGUUUUUUUUUAUAUCAUGGUAGAAGUGUAUAUAUAGUUUUUUUUUAAUCAUGUAUAUAUAGAGAUUAAUACAUCGAGUCUCUUAAGACCACAAAUUUAGUUAGAUAGAAUACCUUAUGUCAAAUUUAACUUAGUUACACUUUUGAUAAUUUUGUGUAAAAUAUAUGAAUUUAACAAACACUAUCAAAGCUGCCUACCUGUCUCAGACUUGAGAGAGAGCGCCACGUAGGACAACGUGGGCUCCAUAUUCUCACUUUGCCAGGUCAUUUAUUACAAAACUUAAACAAAUGACAAAAAAAAAAGCUAACACUAAAUAAUACCGAAAAUAACUGCGAUGUUUCGAAAAUUCAAAGAACAAAAGACAAAACAACAAAAAAAGGAAAAAAGUUUCUUUCAAUUUUCGUUUUCAACAUUAAUUAAUUUAACUAAUUUUCUCUCUCUUUCUCUCUCUCUCUCUCUGCAUUUUGUUUUCUUCUUCCUUGAUCUGCAACGUUACACUCUUCUCUCUCAACAUUGCUACAUUCAUUCCUCAACUUCAACAUUGUCCCUCCCGUUUGGUUCGUUUUCCUUUCUUCUUUCUGUUUUGUUUUCAAUUUGGUGCAUUGCAUUGUUAUUUUUUUUUCUUCAUAAUUUUAGCUGGUUAAUUUUUUUUAAGGGAUUUUAAAAAAAAAUCAAGGGAAAUAUGUUUCUUAAUUAUUUGAGCUGUUUUGAAUUUUAACAAAUUAUUGUGUUUGAUGCAUUGUGAAUUUGCAUUAUCUAUUUAGCUUAUAGAUUUGAGUUUGAUUAUGAUUAUGAUUUUUAUUGUUUUAUGUUUAAGGUUAUUUUUUAAUUCUGUUUUUGGAAUUUUAUGAUGUUAGGGUGUUUUAGGAAUUUGAAAUUUGAAUGUUGGUUUGAAUAAGGGUGGGUACCCCUCCUUUUUUUUAUUCAGUAUCCAAGGAUGAAUUGAAUUUACUGGGUUUAAAUUAUAUGAAAAGUUGGUAUAUUGUGCAGAUUUAGUAUUAUGCAUCAAAUAUUAUGGCGGUGUUUAUGUGAUGAAACCUAGCGCUGACACUUCCGGUCAAAGGCAUGUCCAGUGUAUGACAUAUGUCCAACACUGACACAUGCGAUUACAUUCAAUUAUGUCAUUUUCGUCAAUUACCACCCAUGUUAGUGACGUGGUCAUAUUUGGUUGCCAUGUAUGUCUUAGUGCUUCAUAGGAUGAAACUGAUCAUUUUGUUAAUUUGCAUGUGUUGUUAGGUUUUAGAAGAACAAAUCGGGGACAAGGGGCAGUUUGAUGGUGCUCCCUUCCACUAGCUGUUUUUUGGGUUUUGUUCUUGGUGGGUAUGUGUUGGUUGAAUAGAAUUCUACUUUGAGCUGAAUUGCGGCUAAAUGGCAAAGGGAAGGAUCAGGGCGAGGCUCCGAAGGAGCAAUUUUUACACAUUUGGUUGUCUUCGAGCCUCUGCUACUACUGAGGAAGGGCCUCAUCCACUUCAAGGUCCGGGGUACUCGCGAACCGUGCACUGCAACCAGCCUCAGAUCCAUGAGAAGAGACCUUUCUUUUAUUGCAAGAAUGAUAUUUCCACAACCAAAUACAACGUUCUUACAUUUUUGCCCAAGGCAAUUUUUGAACAGUUUCGUAGGGUUGCUAAUAUAUACUUUCUUUUGGCUGCGUGUCUCUCGUAUACUCCAAUGUCACCUUUUAGUGCAUUGAGUAUGAUUGCUCCUUUAGCAUUUGUUGUCGGGCUUAGUAUGGCGAAGGAAGCAUUGGAAGAUUCCCGCAGGUUCGUUCAGGAUGUUAAAGUUAAUCGUCGAAAAGUUAAUCACCAUAAAGGUGAUGGUGUUUUUGGUCAUAGAUCGUGGCAGAAUAUUAUGGUUGGGGAUGUAGUAAAAGUAGAAAAGGACAAGUUUUUUCCAGCUGAUUUGCUUCUCCUAUCAUCAAGUUAUGAUGAUGGGAUAUGCUAUGUGGAGACGAUGAAUUUAGAUGGUGAGACCAACUUGAAGGUUAAAAGAUCUUUGGAGUCUACCUUGGCCCUAGAUAGUGAUUUAGCUUUUAAGGAUUUCACUGGAACAAUAAGAUGUGAAGACCCGAACCCCAGUCUUUACACUUUUGUUGGAAAUUUUGAGUAUGAGCGCCAGGUUUAUCCUCUUGAUCCUGGUCAAAUUCUCCUCCGAGAUUCUAAGCUCAGGAACACCGAAUACAUCUAUGGAGUGGUCAUUUUCACUGGUCACGACAGCAAAGUCAUGCAGAAUUCCACAAGAUCCCCUUCAAAAAGGAGCACAAUAGAAAAGAAGAUGGAUUAUAUCAUAUACACUCUCUUCACUGUCCUUAUAUUUAUAUCUGUCAUUAGUACCAUAGCAUUUAUUGUCAUGACCAAGUACGGAACCCCAAAUUGGUGGUACAUACGCCCUGACGUAAUCGACCGCCAGUAUGAUCCCAAGACACUUGGAAUGGCUGGGGAUGAGUCAUUUGAUUACUGCUCUCAUUCUCUAUGGAUAUUUGAUACCCAUCUCACUUUAUGUUUCCAUCGAGGUUGUGAAGGUUUUACAGGCAACCUUCAUUAACCAAGACAUUCUAAUGUAUGAUGAAGAAACCGGAACUCCAGCUGACGCACGGACUUCAAAUUUGAAUGAAGAGUUGGGUCAGGUGGAUACAAUCCUCUCUGAUAAAACUGGAACUUUAACAUGCAAUCAGAUGGACUUUUUGAAGUGCUCUAUUGCGGGUACUCAAUAUGGUGCGUCUUCAAGUGAAGUUGAACUUGCUGCUGCAAAGCAGAUAGCUUCUGAUCUCGAGGACGGGGAUUCAGAUCUCUCCAAUUUCCCCCUACGUCAUAGGAAAGCUCAGGUUUCAUGGGAAAACAUUGAUAAAGUUGAUGAAAUUGAACUAGAGACUGUUGUUACUUCCAAAGGUGAUGAGGAUCAAAAGCAUGCCAUAAAGGGGUUUGGUUUUGAAGACGACCGUCUCAUGAAUUGUAAUUGGUUGCAAGAGCCCAAUGUCGAUGACAUUUUAUUAUUUUUCCGAAUACUAGCAGUUUGCCAUACUGCCAUUCCUGAGCUGAAUGAGGAGACAGGUGGUUUUACAUAUGAAGCCGAGUCUCCAGAUGAAGGGUCUUUUCUCGUAGCUGCAAGAGAAUUUGGCUUUGAGUUUUGUAGGAGGACCCAGUCAAGUAUUUUCACACGUGAAAGAAUAUCUGCUUCAGGGCAAGUGGUUGAAAGGUAUGAGUUUAGGAAAACUCUUAUGCUCAUCUAUUUCUUUUGAUUUGUUUGCACUCCCAACCCCAGGCAUUACAAGAUAUGUUUUGUCUCUAUUCAUGUCUAUUUAUAUUUCUUUAUAUAUACUUUUGCGUGAAUCAUUCAGGGAGUACAAACUCUUGAAUCUACUAGAUUUCACAAGUAAAAGAAAGCGUAUGUCAGUGAUUGUCCGUGAUGAGGAGGGCCAAAUUUUUCUUCUGUGCAAAGGGGCUGACAGGUUAGCUUACAAAUUCUAUUGUUCUUGCCUAUGGUACUCAUUUUUUACUGCUGAGCGUAUAAUGUCGAUCAUCAAUAGGACCUUCUCAAAUAAUACAUUAGAAUAAAUGAAAUUGAAAUUAAACUUGAGCUUCACAACGUUCAGCAAAUUUACAACACAAUCACAACAAUCCCCUGCUUCCAUAGAAGAAGCUUGCAAAAACACACAUGUAUUACUCUCAUAAAGAGGCUUUCAAUAUCUCUCUUAGAAUUUGACAUCCAUUCUUUUCUUGCUCGGUUUUUCAGUAUCAUAUUUGAUCGUUUGUCCAAGAACGGAAAAGCGUAUUUGGAGGCUACUACCAAGCAUUUAAAUGAUUAUGGAGAAACAGGUUUAAGGACACUAGCUCUGUCCUAUAGAAGGCUUGAAGAAAAAGAGUACUCGGAUUGGAACAAUGAGUUUCAGAAAGCCAAAGCAGCCGUUGGGGCUGACAGAGAGGCAAUGCUUGAGCGGGUCUCAGAUAUUAUGGAAAAAGAGUUGAUUCUUGUUGGGGCUACUGCUAUAGAAGACAAACUGCAGAAAGGGGUAGGAUUUGUUAUUCUUUCUAAUCAACACACACACACACACACACGUAUUGCCGUCGUUGUUGUUUUUCCUACUUCAAAUCUUCAACCAAAUUCAACGCUUUAUUCUCCUCAGGUUCCCCAGUGCAUUGAUAAACUUGCUCAAGCUGGUCUCAAGAUUUGGGUAUUGACGGGGGAUAAGAUGGAAACUGCAAUCAACAUUGGGUCUGUCAACCACAAACUAUCUAGCCUCGUAUACUAUUUUAUUUAUGUUCUAAACAUAUAAGGUUGAACUUACAGAAAAGUGCUUCCGUAACAAAGUAUGCUGAAAUGAAAUUGUAUUUUCUGUGGUGCAGCUUUUCCUGUAGUUUGCUUCGACAGGGCAUGAAGCAGAUCUGUAUAACUACAAAUUCAGACUCAGUAUCCAAUGAUACCAAACAGGUACUCUUUUUCAUUGAGAAAGCGUAUCAGAGUUUACUUUACGGGCUUGUGUUUUAUCUGAUGUUGGGCCUAGUUCUUUUGCUUAACUCCGCAGGCCAUUAAGGACAACAUAUUAAAUCAAAUUACCAAUGCUACACAAAUGAUAAAGCUGGAGAAGGAUCCUCAUGCAGCAUUUGCAUUAAUUAUUGAUGGGAAAACUCUGACAUAUGCUUUAGAAGAUGAUGUAAAGCUCCAAUUUUUGGGACUAGCAGUUGAUUGUGCAUCUGUCAUCUGCUGUCGUGUGUCUCCCAAGCAAAAGGCACUGGUGGGAGAUUUUUUUUCCGUUUUCUGUUGUGAUUUUGUGGACUCAUACUGUAUGAGUAGUUAAUUAUUGGAGUUAUAUGUAUGCAUGAUUGCUCACGUGGAUCCACCUUAGUAAAAUAGGAAAACUUAGGUCCAUUAAAAAUCAGCUUGUAUGCCACUCAUUGCCACACUUACGUAGAUUGCAUUUAUCCAACUCUAUCUCUAUGUCAACUCUGAUAUAUAAAGUUAUAUAUGCAUUUUACAAUGUCCUGAUUUCUUAAUCUUCUGGCGCCAGGUCGUAAGGUUGGUAAAACAAGGAACUGGGAAGACCACUCUUGCAAUAGGUGAUGGUGCAAAUGAUGUUGGCAUGAUACAAGAAGCAGAUAUUGGUGUUGGAAUCAGCGGGGUUGAAGGUAUGCAGGUCAGUGGCAUACAUGACUGUCUCUUUAAGAAAAACUGUCUCACAAAUAUCACUGCUUAUGACAAGUUAAUUCUAGCCUUUAAUUUUGCAAGUUGGAAUAAAAUUUUAGUCUUAUAUAGUCUUCUUAUUUUAAAAAAUAACACCGUGAUUAGAGAAAGAAAACCUGUCAUGUAUCUUUUUUCAUGUUUGGACUUGCUUUCAAGCUGGACCGUGCACUAGAUUUUCUCAUAGUUGUCUUGUGAUUAGAGCUUCUGAACUGAUGCAAGAGGAAAAUGAACUUCCUCUUUGCAUUAUCAAUAAUAUGCUGACUAAUUUAUUCUAUAAAACGAGGGAAAAAAUCGAACUUGCUUAACAAAAUGAAACUUAUUUAGAAAGUUAGCAUUUUGGUAUUUUCUUAAUUCUUUUUGUUAUUAUUGCCUGAAACUAGUUAUAUCUGAAUUUUGGUCAGAUUGAAUUGCUAAAUUUUAUUGUAGUGUGGAAAAUGAUGUGCAAAUUUUCUGACGUUACGUAAUUGUGAUGUAUUCCUUAGUUGUCCUUUUAAGCUGUGGUCUCAAGCAUGUAAUUUCCUUUCAGGCAGUGAUGGCUAGCGACUUCUCGAUUGCCCAAUUUCGAUUUUUGGAGCGGCUUCUGGUGGUCCAUGGACACUGGUGUUAUAAGAGAAUUGCACAGAUGGUAAUUGAUUAAUAAUUGUCUUGAUCGUCAUUCUCACAAACUGGAUGCCUUGCAUUCAAUGCCUUGUGUGUUGUGUAUCCUUUGCAUGGAUAGAGAAGCACUUAAUAUUUCUAGCAUGUUGUAUCUGUUUUAUUAUGAAUUGAUUCCUUCAUUCCUCUUCUUAACUGGUAUCUUCUACCUUGCAGAUUUGUUAUUUCUUUUACAAGAAUAUAGCAUUUGGCCUCACCAUCUUUUACUUUGAGGCCUAUACAGGCUUCUCCGGCCAAUCGGUUUAUGACGACUGGUACAUGAUAUUGUUCAACGUUUGUUUGACAUCAUUACCCGUCAUUUCACUUGGUGUAUUUGAACAAGAUGUUUCAUCGGAAGUUUGUUUACAGGUUUGUUCUCUUGCAAUGUCAUCAACAUAUUACGUCCCAGUGUGAAAAAUCCAACCUAUUAAUAAGUUGUCGUGUUUUGCAGUUUCCAGCACUUUACCAACAAGGACCCAAAAAUCUGUUCUUUGAUUGGUAUAGAAUAUUAGGAUGGAUGGCCAAUGGUCUAUAUUCCUCUGUCGUCAUCUUCUUCGGCACCGUCCUCAUAUUCUAUGAGCAAGCAUUCCGUGUUGAUGGUCAGACAUCUGACUUGGCUUCUCUUGGAACCACAAUGUUCACUUGCAUAAUCUGGGCAGUCAACUGUCAAAUUUCACUGACAAUGAGCCAUUUUACAUGGAUUCAACAUCUGUUUAUAUGGGGUAGCAUAGUUACUUGGUACCUCUUUCUCAUGAUGUAUGGCGCACUUUCUCCCAACCUUUCUCACAGUGCCUACCAUUUACUGAUUGAGGCUCUCGGACCUGCGCCUAUUUAUUGGGCAACAACAUUAUUAGCUACAGUUGCAUGCAUUCUUCCUUAUCUUGUCCACAUAUCAUUUCAAAGAUGUUUUAGUCCAAUGGAUCACCACAUUAUCCAAGAAAUCAAGCACUACAAGAAAGAUAUUGAGGAUCAAUCCAUGUGGGUGAGGGAGAGUUCUAAAGCAAGACAAGAAACCAAGAUUGGGUUCACUGCAAGAGUGGAAGCAAAGAUCAGACAAUUGAAGGGAAAGCUGCAUAAAAAACAAUCUUUCUUGAAUAUUUUGUCCCCAGUACGUACAUAAUUGACAUUUUUGAGUAUUUUUUUAGGCUAUGCGGGUUAAUUUUUGUUCACAAUUUUGCCCCUUUUAAAUUCUUUGAUGCUUAUAUUGUGUUAUAAUGAAAACGGGGUGAAUUUAUGUCUCCUUCACCACAAAAAAAAUGUAAGCUAUUGUAUGUAACAUAUUUAUAUUUAUAUAGAAGAGUGUCAGUGUGUGUUUCUCAUGCCAAAAAGGGUUAUGGUCCAAGUGACAUUGAAGAAAUGAAACAGCUACUUUUUAUUAAUUUUUUUUUUUUUAGAAAAUAAACGUGGAUUGUGGAUUUGUGGUAUUUGAAGCACAAAGACUUCUUGGAUUAGGCGUGCCUCGGUGUCGUAUAUGUGUUGGUGUUGGAUACCAACAUGACACCAACACAUAUACAUUGAAUUAUGUCAUUUUUUCAAAUUAUUAAGGGUGUUGACUUGUCAUUGUUGUGUCUGGUGUCCAUGCACCAUAGUUUGUGAUUUGGAUUGAAGUUUGCAAGUUAUGUCCGAUUAAAAUUCAUUUUACAAAAUUAAGUUUGAUCAAUAUCAGUUUGCUUCAAUGUUCCCUAAAAUAAAAACCAGGUUGCUUCAUUGUGAUUUUUGUUUUGGGAGACGUUUCUCAAAUGCACGUAUGAUGGAAUAAAAUGCAAUUUAUAUUGGUGGAAAGUAUCAAAAGUACUUCUGAGCAUAUAAUUACCAUAAAUCAUAUGACUUUUAUAUUGUAGAAUAAAAAGGUGUUAGAGACUUUGCUUCAUGCAAACUUCUAAAAUCAGACUUUGUUGGGCUAACUGAAUUAAGGAGUUCAUAAUGUAUUUUGGUAAAAUUACACUCACCUCAGGCCAUGGAUCCACACUAUGUUAAAUGGAGGCACUUGACCCCACUCCUUCAAAUAGUUUGUAAUUAUUAAGAGCAACUUCAACGGUCAUUUUUUCUUGCAGUCCACCAGCAUGGAGUUACAAAAUUUGAGCAACUUUGUAUGCUUUGUUAUUGGGGUCCGUCAACUGUAGUAAUACCCGUUGCCUUCUGAAGCAACCAAAUUCAAAGAGUUAUGUUAUCCUUGUUACUGUUUUUUUAUAUGACCUGUUACCGGUGUUAUUAAUUUGACCAAGCAAUUCUGCCAUACCACCAGUGUGAAACAUAAGUUAAUUUAUUUUAUCAUUUUUUUUUAUUAUUGAAAUUCUUUUAUCUAUAAAUUGUGAUCAUUUACAAAAUUCACAAUUUCAUAUUAUAUACUCUUAAUUUUACACUCAAAUUUACCCUCAUAAUUUUAACUUCAUAAUUUCAUCUUUUUGGUCUUCAUUAUUCAAUGUUUAUAUCUCCAAUAGAUCCCAAUCAAUAUAAUUACCAACAAUUUUUGUCAUUGGCGACAAAUCCAACCAUUUUCAUGUUGUCACCAACUAACCCCCAACAUAUUUUAUCGACCUAAAAUUGAUACACAAAGUGGAGAGUUUACUCAUUAUGAACCUGAAACACCAAUUGAGCCUAUGUCAGAAUGUCAUGGUUUCACAAUUUUCAACUCAAGUUGGUCUUGAAAAUAUUACGCUUGGAGAAAAAAGAUGUUCUGCUCCCAAAAUGCCUCGCGAGCUAUUCACAUGAGAUGAGGAUAUACUUCUUAGUGAAUGAUAUCAUGAAUAUUGUGGAAAAUGAUAAAAAAGAUCCUAUUGUGGAAAAUGAUAAAAAAGCAGACAAAUUUUGGUUAAGGAUCCCUGCUAAUUAUAACCAAUAUCAUGGCCAAUUGCAAGAGAAGAAGCUAAUAGAAUAUAAAAAUUAACAGUAACAAUAUUAUCCCAAUUCGAGAAGGGACAUCUCUCCUAAGAAAGGGAGGAAGACUAGAACUUUUGUUUAUUAAUUUACUUCAUUAUUUAUUUACACAUUACAAUCUUAAUAUAACACACCAAUAAAUAACUAACUUCCUAUAACAACUAAUAACUUCAUAAAACUACUACCAAUAACUACCUAUAAAUAUAAUUAAUAAUUAACACUAUAAUAUAAUAAUAUUGACAUUUGCUCAAAAAAAAAUAUUGACAUAUUAUACACAUAAUUAUAAUUUAUAUUACAUAUAAAUACAUAUUUAAUAUGUUAUCUUAUACCCGUAUCAGGAGCCUAGUCAAUUAAAAUCUCGAUGGAGUCAAAUAAAUGAUCCGUUAAUAAAUUUGUCGGAUGUUACCCUUCAGUUGUUGAUGGAAAGAAAAGUGGAACCUUAAAGAAUGAUAUCAUGAAUAAUACACAUGCUUUACUCAAAACUAUGAUUUGUAGCUUUUGAUUUUAGAAAUGACUUUAACACACAUAUCUAUGAUUAAACUCAUUUUUAUAUAAAUAUAUCUAAAUACAAAGCAUUUUUAAAUUACAUUUAACUAAAAUCGACUCUACAUAAUCAGUUCUAUCAAAAUUAAUUCUCACACCGCACAAACAAAGACGCACUUCAUAUUUAAGUUUUGGUGUGAAUACAAUGUCGACUACUUGGACUAAAGCAGGCAUGACUCUAAUGAGUGACAAGUCUUUAUGAGAUAAGAUUUAAUGAACUUUGUCCUUAAUUAAUUAAUUAAUAAUAAUCAAAAUCCAAAAAACAAGCGUUAGGUAAGGUUGAUGAAGAAAGCGUGAGCGCGUGACAACGAACGAUUCAUCACUCACAAUAAUUUCUCUCUCUCAUUUUCUUUUUUCUUAAUUCCUAUUUUGUCCUUUCCUUUUUCAUCAUUUCCCAGAUAUACCCUUUUCUUCUUCUACGAUGACGCACUUCAACUCGUAGCUCUUCUUUUUCAAUUCUGAUUUUCAAUAGGGUUUAAUGGAACCUCGAAUUGGGAAUAAGUUCCGUCUUGGGAGAAAAAUUGGUAGCGGAUCUUUUGGAGAGAUCUAUUUAGGUUCGUUUUCAUUCCAAUUUGUUGCAUUUUUGUGAUUUUUUGUUGUGAAUUUUAGGGUUUUUAAUUUGUGUUUUUGUUGCAGGUACCAAUAUUCAAACAAAUGAAGAAGUUGCGAUUAAGCUUGUAAGUACCUGAAUUUUGAAAAAGAAAUUGAACAAAGAGUUCUUUUUUCUUUUUCUUUUGAAUUAUUGGUGAUUGUGAAAUCCGAAUACUUUUGUUGUUAUUGAAGUUUGAUGAGAAGGGGUUAUAGAAAUUAGUUGAAUUUGCAUGUUUUUAGUGAUGUUGAAUUAAAAUAAUGAAUUUGAAAAAAAGAGUUGUAUAGGCAAUAUGGGAUAUUGAAUUUCGUUUGUGUUUUAGUUUUCGAUACUGAACUUGUUGGUUUAUUUUCGCCUUGUAACUGAAGUAUCAAUGACAGAGGCAGGGAAUUAGGGAAUUAGAUGAUUGAUUAGGUUAGUCAGGUAAUCACCAUAAUCAGACUUGGUUAAUCAGUUAAGUUAAUGAUUAAUGGAUUAAAAUAAAGUAAUGAUCGAUUAGGUGAUGUAGAUUACUGGUUUGGUAUUUGAAAUUAUGAGUAUCAAGUAAUUAAAAUUUACGAACUCGUAUUUGGAAAUAUUGAGCAAUUGAGUCUUUUGAAUUUACGAAUUGAUAUUAUAAUUAUCGAGCAAUUUAGUUGUAAGUAGUGAGCAAUUUGCAAAGUUUUGUGCAUCUCUUUGCUGCAAAAUUGAAAUUAUUGAAUGACACUUGUGUAGUUGAGUAGUUUACUAAUUUAUUUUUGUUUUGUUUGAUUCAGGAAAAUGUCAAAACCAAGCACCCUCAAUUGUUGUAUGAAGCAAAGCUGUAUAAAAUACUGCAAGGAGGAAGUAAGCUCCCAACUUAGUGAAUUUGUGUAUUUUGGAACUCUUUGCUUACUAUAGACUUCAUAUUACUCACUUGGCUUAAACAUUUUUUGUUGGUUUCUUUUCUUUGGAAGCUGGAAUACCGAAUGUGAAAUGGUCCGGUGUCGAAGGAGAGUACAACAUCCUUGUGAUGGAUUUACUUGGCCCUAGUCUUGAGGAUUUAUUCAAUUUCUGUAAUAGGAAAUUGUCUCUCAAAACUGUUCUUAUGCUUGCUGAUCAAAUGGUGGGUUUUCCUGUAUUGCAUAAGCUUGUAAUUGACAUUUACCAGUUUUCUUAUAAUGUCUCAAACUGCAUCUUUUUUCAGAUAAAUCGAGUUGAAUUUGUUCAUACCAAGUCAUUUUUACAUCGGGACAUAAAGCCAGACAAUUUCCUCAUGGGUUUAGGGAGGCGUGCAAAUCAAGUACUUGUUUAAUUCUUGUGUUUUUCAGCUGCUUUCUUAAAAUUUAUGAUCAUCUCCAACGCUUGUUAUGUAUCAAUUUCAUAUUUGCCUCUUAUGUAGGUGUACAUCAUUGACUUUGGUCUUGCUAAGAAAUUCAGAGACAGUGCACAUCAGCAUAUUCCCUACAGGUACUUUUGUGGCAUCAAUAGUUUUCUGAUUUUAUUCAGCAUGGUUGCACAGUUCAACUUCAAACUAUUCACCAUCGAUAUAUUCCCUAUCAUGCUUUCUUAUUUUGUAAAAUCUAUUAUCAUGGAAAAUCCUAUAUCUGGAAUCUGGAUGUUAUGCUAUCAUGAAUUAUUUAUGUGGAUAGCUGAUUACUACUAUUUAGUAGGAGGAGAGUUUUCUCGUAAUAGAAAAAGUAGAAAAAUUAAUAUCAUUGAAAGUUGCAAAACUAAUUUUGAGCUUUGCGCAGGGAACUUUCCUGGUUUUACAUUCCUGGCAUUGAUUCUAUUUUCUUCACUUUGAGUUGUUUAUGUUUCUAUAAUCCUUGCAUGACUUGUUACACCAGCUCGUUAAGUUAUUUGUCCUUGAUGAUAGUUUUGUUAGCCUUGUUUGAACUAAGAUCCAUUGAUGCCAUACUUACAAACAUAAACUAAAAAAAUGAUAUGUGAUUACCAAAACAAUAUUAAAGGAUUCAAGCAUUGAAUUAGUUAAUUUCACAAUUUUUUAGUUGAUUUGGACAUCCAUAUAAUAGGUAUGCAAUCAAAUAAUAAAUGUUUACUUACAUUUUAAAUGUUAAAAUGUUUACUUUAUGAGAAUUUUUAACUCAAUGACUAGAUCAAUAAAACUCGUGAAUAAAAAGUUAUUAAAAGGUGAAUUUAUGCCAAAUUAAACUUGGUUUCAUUGGAUCCCGACUCUCUCCCUCUCUCUGGGGUCUGUAAUAUCACUUUACCUAGUCUUUACGAUUAUUUAUUUAAAGAUCAAGUUAGCACAUAACUUAUGUUGCUGUAAGUGGUCAAGGAAAUAUACUCUAUUGUGUUUUCUGUGAGUUUGUCUUACUUGUAAUCCCUUGCAGAGAGAAUAAGAAUCUGACGGGAACUGCUAGAUAUGCCAGUAUGAAUACUCAUCUUGGAAUUGGUAUGUUCUCAUAAUCUCAUUUGAUCAGUUCCCUUUCUUAAUAGCCAUUGAUUUUUACCUGAAAAUGUGAGUUUUUUGCUUUAAUAGAGCAAAGCCGUAGGGAUGAUUUAGAGUCGCUUGGAUAUGUUCUUAUGUAUUUUUUAAGAGGAAGGUAAUUAGUCUAUCACCUUUAUUAUUUGGCAUUUGACAUAUCUUUUAAUUGGAUACUCUUUCUUAUUUGGUAUUUCUGCAGUCUACCUUGGCAGGGAUUAAAAGCAGGUACUAAAAAGCAGAAGUAUGAGAGAAUCAGUGAGAAGAAAGUUUCUACAUCUAUUGAGGUAUGAUUGGAGUGAUAAAACAGUAACUUAUUUCAUAUAAUGUAUGUCCAUUAUGUCUUUUAAAAUCAUUGUUGAUUGUGGGUUGCUUCUUUGCUAGUCUCUCUGUCGUGGCUAUCCCUCAGAAUUUGCUUCAUACUUCCAUUAUUGCCGGUCACUGAGGUUUGAUGAUAAGCCAGAUUAUGCUUAUCUGAAAAGACUUUUGCGUGACCUAUUCAUCCGUGAAGGUUUGGGCCUUGUUUUCCUAUUUAUAUUUUAUUUUUGGAAUGAUGCACUAUAGUCCUUGAAAACCAUAGUUUAGGUUCUAGAUGGGAUGUGUUUUAAUGUCAUUUUUUCUUUGUUCUUGCCUUGUUGCUCCAGGAUUCCAGUUUGAUUACGUCUUCGAUUGGACUAUCUUGAAAUAUCAGCAGUCUCAAAUCGCCACUCCUCCUUCCCGUGGUAUUGUAAGUGAUGGUGUGCUGUCUCAUUACGUUAGCUGGUUGAUUGUUGAGAUUAAGUUAUUUAAUUUUUAGUGGAAGUGAUAAUAUGACAAUUACAGGGUCUUGCUGCUGGACCGAGUUCUGGUCUGCCGCUAGCUUCUGCAAAUGCUGAUGGACAGUCAGGUAUCCUUGUUGUUUUAACUUCUCUUUGAUUGAGAUGUUUAAAGACAGAUUGUUAUAGUGCAGUUUCAUAUCAUUUAAUAACUUGUUAGUUAUUCUGUGACAUCCUUCACGUAUUUUGUCAUCUGACUCAUCCUUGAAUGAUUUUCAUUUGUUACCAGUGCAUUUUUUAAUGUGGUGCCUCUUUGUAGGUGGUGGAAAAGAUGGUAGGAAUAUUGGGUGGUCUUCGUCUGAUCCCACUCGAAGGAGAACCUCUGGACCUAUUGCUAAUGAUGGAAUCUUAUCUAGAGAAAAAGCCCCACUUACAAAUGACUUAACCGGAUCUAAAGAUGCUAUGGUGCGUGUUUUAUGUAUGGGCUGUUUUUUGCAUGUGAAAUCAUUAUAUUUCUUGCAGAAGUCAAAGAUGAUGGUUGCUUUGUGCAUUAAUUUCUAGAAUUUUUAAAGUGACAAUAAUUCCUGUCCAAAAUCAUAUAUGAUUCAAGAAAUGAAUAUUUAUUUGAAAUAUUGGAUUGCUUUACAAAAAGAAAGUAUAUGAAGACUGUUUACCUUUUAUCCAAGGAAAAAAUUAAAGUUUUGUCUUGGUGCAUUCCGUUUCUUUUGUUCAUGACUUGGUUUUAAAAUAUUGGCUUUAGCACUUGUGUUUAUACACACAGCUGAGGCAUAAGAUAAGCAGGUAUUGUAAUUGUAAAUAUUUCUCAAAACUCUGCAUAUUGCUAACAUCUUACAUACCCAUUCUCCGGGCUUCACUUCCACGGACCCAUACUAUUGAGUUAAAUGGUGUGGAUAUUGUCGUACUGUGCAAGUUAAUAUUGGCAAAGAAAAUAAUUAGAAAUGCCGUGUGUAUUAUAGUUAUCAUAUAUAAUAUACCCUGCUGGUUAAGUUUAUACAAGGUUAUCUGUUUAUAUGGCAAUUAGUUUUCAUAUUACUCAUCAAUGUUUGUUUUGUUUUUCUGCAUAAUUUAAGCAGUUAUCAAGUUCAAAUUUCUUUCGGUCAAGCGGAUCUGCAAGGCGAGGUGCUAUGUUAAGCAGCCGUGAUGCAGCUGUUGGCAGUGAGACGGAGCCCUCCUCUCGUCCUCUCACGCUGGAUUCAAGUCUAGGAGCAGUCCGUAAAAGCUCUGGUGCUCAGAGAAGUUCACAUAUCAUGGCAUCGGAGCACAACCGAGUAUCAUCUGGAAGAAACACAUCAAACAUAAAUAAUUUGGAUUCAACGCUUAGAGGUAUUGAGAGUCUGCAUUUAAACGAUGAGAGGGCACAGUAUUAGCAGCUGCUACUCUCAGUUCACCUUUCUUCCUUGUAAAUUCUGAAAGGUUUAUACUCAUUUUCACAAAGUGCGGAGUGGAGUGGAGUGUUGUCUGUGCAUUUUGCUGAGAAAAAGCUGCAAGCAAAUUGGGAACUAUACCUAUAAGUAUACAAUAAAGAAAAUAUGUUUUGGUGGUUUCCUAACAAAACUAGCCUCGUAAAAGGCUUCUGUUCAUACAGUUUGUUAUACCGAUGAAUAUUUUUCGUAACCUUUACUAUCAUUUGUUUUCUUUGAUAUUUUUAGCCUCAGGGAUGAUAUAAAGCAUAUCAUUGUGAACUAUACAGGGGGAUUAUAGACUAUAAAGCAUAAUUUAUAGUAGCAAUAUGCGAAUGUGAGCUGUAUUGUGUAUUGUGAGCUUUAAAAGCUCAAUAUGUAGCGCUAGUCCACCGCAUUUCUCUACUGUAAUUUUGGUAUUUUACGAACACACUCCAAUGAUCAAGCUUUCAUGUGAGACUGGAAUGGAGUGAGCAACGGGGAUUAAUUAUUAUCACUACAAAAUAGCUACUGUCAAUAAAUCAUGACUAAAUAUUCCCUGUUGUAUUUGUGAUUUGUUGAAAUGGCAGCACUAAAAGAAAUACCACAAGGAAAGACAAAACAUCUGGUGUAAGUUUGUACCAUUAAUUGUAUGCAUUUGUGUUUAAGAGCCACCUUUAAGAAAAUGAAAAAUAUUGGCUAUGUGAAUGUUUAAGCUUGACAAAUGUUUUAAACAAUGUCAAAAGAAUUAUAAGCCUGAACAAAGUAACUAUUACAUUUUAUCAGCGAAAAAUAAUAAUUAUUACAUUAAUAAAAUAGAAUGAUUUGAGUUUUUUUUUUUGGUACUAAAAAGACACUUAUUUUGAAAUGUUUGAAGUGGUUUCCAAUGAAAUGUAUGGAGUGGUUUCCAAACAGGAUUUUGUUAGGUUUGGAAACUAGCUUGCCAAAACCAGAGCAAGCCCCUAUUUAGAAAAGAAAGAACCAUCAAAAUCCAAUUUUCUUUUAACAAAAAUUAAAUAAAAUAAAAAAUAAAAAUAAAAUAUCUAGAUCUAAUGCUUGCAUCCAAUGUAUUUUUUUUUUAGUAAAAAAUCUAGAUAUAUCAGAGAGAUUACAUUGUUUUGUUUUAAGUUUACAAGUAUUCCCUUCUUCAUUUGAAUUUGAUUUCUUAAUUUAUUUAUGAGUCAACAUACAACUUACAAUAACUAUUUAAUUUACUGUAUAAAUUUUUAGUAAUUUUUUUUUUUUUUUUACAAAAAUGAACGUUAUUCAUUCAUUCAUUUAAAUUAAUAGUAGAAUAAUCAACACAAUACAAAUUCGAAGUUACUAAAAAUAAAAAGGAUGAAUCUGCGAACAAAUUAUAUCAUCUAUGUUAAUAGCAUAAAGUGACAGAGUACAUAUAUCUACAAAUAUGACUAUAUUCAAGUAUACAAAAUACUCAUGUUUUCGGAUCUGCAACGUUGAAGACGCCAAAAUCAUUGAUUGAAUCUGCACUUGCUCAAGACUAAUCUUUCAACCUGAAUGAAAUAAACAUCGCAUAAAGAUGAGAAAUUAAAACAAACAAAGUCGUACAAAGACGACGAAGUCACAUAAACAAACAAAAUAAGAAUGAUAAUACGUGAAAAUCACUUAUUAACUUAAAAAAAAGAAGGUUAAAUUACAUUAAGGGUCCUUUAAGUUUGAGGUUUGAAACAAAUUGGUCCUUUAAGUUAUUUUUGUAACAGAUAAGUCCUUUAAGUUUGAGGUUUGUAACUGAUUGGUCAUUUAAGUAAUUUUUGUCACACAUAAGUCUUUUUAAGUUGUAAAUGUUUUCAAUUUAGUACUUCUAUUAACCAAAAUGAUGAUGUGACAGAAGGACUAAAUUGAAAACGUUUAAAACUUAAAGGACUUAUGUGUGACCACAAUAACUUAAAGUACCAAUCUGUUACAAAUCUCAAACUUAAAGAACUUAUGUGUGACAAAAAUAACUUAAAGAACCAAUUUGUUACAAACCUCAAACUUAAAGGACAUAUAGUAUAAUUUAACCAAAAAAGAAAGAAAAAUAACUUGUAGAGGUGAUUUUAUGACAAAUUUGAUCAUAAAUCACCCUUCUUCGAUGAACCUAAGUUAGUAGAUAGAAAUUCACCUCUAAUAUGCAUUUAUGAUGCAACGUCUAUACCAAUUGAACUAAUCUUACAUAGCCAUAUUCCAUUUAGAAUUUUAUUGAGUAUAAAAAGAUUUCCAUUGAAUAUAUCUUCUUUCGUGCGAUUUUUGUCAAACUCAUGGUUAAGUUUUCAAACUUGCAUGUUAUGAAACUUCAGUUCCUUAAAGUUGUUCAACGUUUGAUAAAAUUAAAGUCCAUUUUAGAAGUUUUCUUUUUCAACCUAUUAUAACGACUUCCAUUUUUAUCUAUUUAAGAGUCAUACAUAAUAAUGUGAACAUGUAUAACUAAGAUUACAAUCCUUAGUUAUACAUGCACCACCACAUAUUCAUAUGCUAUGCAAGAAGUAAAACCAAAUCCAAAAGCAUCUUUUACAUUUUAUUAUGGUGAAUAUACAAUAUACAUUACGAGUGUUAAUUGCACCGCUAGUUUGUCUCAUUAUAAAUGGCAAGGUAAAUUUAAUGCUUUUCCUAAUCUAAAUUGCAGAAGCGAAAAAGAAUGCACAUGGAAAAUACGUAAAAAGAAUCCGUUUGUACAUGAUGCAUCGAGUAAACAAUUUUUGAAACAAGAGUAUGACAUAAAACAACUAAUCUAAUUGGUUAACUCAAUGAUUCAAAAAAUUUGGGCUUAAACAAUUGAUUCAUCAGUGCCAAUUUUUUUUUAGCCUGAACUUUAUGUUUAUAUUAUAGCAAGGGUCUUGCUGUGUCUCCUAGACAUUCUUUGAUCAUUUUAAAUUAAUAAAAGUAUUAUUUAAAAAAGUUAAAUACUACAAUUUUCAAAACAUUAAGCACACAAACUUUUAUAAAAGUUUACCUUUAGAGAAUUUUAAAGAGUGUUAUGGAGACACUCGUUAGCAUUUCCUUUAUAAUAAUGUCAUUUUUGAUAAUGUUUAUUUUAAUGUAAUUUUUAUUAUAAUAUUGUCAUAAGAAAUUAAUAUUAUUAUUAUUAUUACUACUAGUACGAAAAACAAAUUUACAUAGUCUUGUAAGUGUAACUCAAUUGAUAGCUCCGUUGCAGACUGAUACACAAGGUCAGUAUUCGAACCUUGGAUUUUUCAGCUCUCCAUAUUUAUAGUGUCUGAAUCUAACUGCUAGGCUACUUGACCCAAAAAAUAUCUACCGAAUAAAUUGAAUAAAAUAUAGCAGCAGAGCAGAACAUACUCUGAAAAAUAUUGACUAUCACUUUUUAUUUUAAGGGAAAAUAUCACCUUUAAAGCAUCACCAAAUGGAAGUAUUUAAGCGAGUUUUAUAGAUUGAUAAACCGUUCCUUAAUAUUUCUUCUUCUCAUUGGAGGAACUAGCAAAGAAAAUAAAAAAGGUUGAAGUAGUUUAAAUAAGCUACCUUAUAACAUCAACAUUUCAUGAGAAAAAUCAUUAAACUGUUGAUACUUGAAUUCGUUAUCAUGUUCCUAAUACGAAAAUUAGGCAUGUGGCUCGUUAGCUUACACACCUCUCUUUUUUUUUUUUUUUCUUUUCAAUUCAGCUUCGUGUCCAUACGUAAAUUCAUUGGAUUGUGCACGUGGUGCAUAAUAUAUUGUCAUUUUAUAACUUAAAUGACUAAAUUGAGCAAAAAAAAAAUGAUAAAGGGCCAAAGUUUUACUUAAAAUUAAGUUAACGGACAAAUCCUGCAAUAUUGACUUUUAUGUUUGAAUCGACGAUUGGGAAAUUCAGGAACUAUCAAAUAUUUAUGCAUAAACAAUGCCUUCCUAAAAUUUGAUGAACUAGGCAGGGGAUGCAUCUAUAAAGUAUCAACUAAGUUCCAUAUACAAAAAUGAAAUUCAACUUUUUCUAAGUAUAGAGAAUUUAAUUUAGAUAGAUUUAGAAUCCAAAUUAAAAUAAGUAAAUUACAACAGAAAACUAUAAGUUAUUAUAUACCAAUGAAUCAUCACCAUAAUUGGCUGCAUGUGUUCUUGAUCCAUCUUAAACUCUUCUUAAAAGACCCUUUCAUUUUUCCUUCAACAUCAUAUACUUUAUAUCCAGCUACUCUUUUCUUUCUCUGCAACUCUGGAUCAUUGAAGCUCCAACUUUUUGAUGCUUUGCCAAAUUUGCUUUUCCUUUUUUCUACCUUGUUUUGAUCAAAAGCAGAUGAAUUACUUGCAUAAUUUGUACUAUAACUUCUCAGAUCUUGCAUGCUAGUUGGAGCUACUUUUCCACCACUCUGCAAACUUUGAUCCUUGCAUGAUUUGGAUCUGAAUUCCAUGAUAAUAAUUCUCAAACUAAGGAUGUGUUCUAAAGUUAGAAAUUAAAGAAUGGUGAAGGAUAUAUGGUUGAUGGUUAAUGGUUUUGCUUUUAUUUUUUCUUGUUGUAUUUUAUCGGUAUGUUUUUUAAUUAUAUUUACUAAUUUUUUAGUAUAAAUAAUAAAUAGUAUUUGAUUGAAUAGGAGACAGUUGAAAGUGGUGAUGUUAAUGUUAGAUUUUGUCGUUUUUGUAUAAUGGAGUAAGUAUUGGUAGAGAAACUUUCAAUUUUGCUCAACUAAGAUAAGUUGCAUGAGGUGUCAAAAAUGGAUACUGAUGGCUGAAAUUGAGUAAUGUUGUUUUUAUACCAAGCAGGAAUUUAUACAUCACUCUUUUAGUUAAACACAAUAAAAAUAUGAAAUAGAAAAUUAUUCCAAAAUUAUGUGGAAAUAUCAUUUGUUUUAACAAAUGUCAUCUAGUAAGUAUCAGUACAAGUAUCUUAAAUUCAAUGUCCUCGCGAGCUUAGCUCACUUGGUAGGGACAAAGCAUAAUAUAUGCAAGGUCUGUUCAAAUCCUAGCCACGAAAAAAAUUAAUUCAAUGGAUCUGCAAAACGUUACUGAUUAAAUUUAGUAACAUUUGUAAAAUUGUUAGGUAAAGCGCGUGUUACUAAAGAGUUUUAGUUACACUUUAUAAUAUUAUAUGUAACAUUCAAAAAAGUGUCGCAAAAUGUUACAUUAUUGUAACACUUUUUGAAUCACCAGUAACACUAAAAAAAUGUUACAUUUUAAAUUUUGAGAAGUUAUAAAAAAGUGUCGCAAAAUUGUCUUGCCUAAAAAAUUGUGAAUCUACAAAAAAAAUGUUACUAAUUGAAGUAGAUUAGAAAAAAGUGGAUUAUCUAUUGGUAUUUUUGUACUCAAUCCAAGCAAAUCAAAAUACUACAUUUUGAUCAAUCAACAUUUAGAUAAUUUUUUUUGGAUGACAUUACAAUGAAAUAAGAUAUCCUAACUAAACCCAGUAAUAAUCACUUUUUCUACCAAAAAUUUCAAAAAAAAGAAAUGAGUACACCAUCUUUCAUAGCUUCUCUCGAAACAACAAAAGUCUUCUAGCUGCAAGUAUUUAGAAGGAAUAUGGGAACAAAAACAAAAUAAAAGUAAAUUUGAGGUAUAAAUGAUUGAACCAAAUCCAACAAUCACUAAAAAAUUGAGAUAUAAAGAUGGAGCAGAAUUUACCUUUACUAAAGAUGAAGCAAGCAACAAAAUCAUAUUGAUUUAAGUGUUGCUACUUUUUGAACAGAGGAAAGAUCCCACAUUGUUAUAUUCCAUGAAAGUAAAACCAAUCCUACCAGACCCUAAGCACAAAAAAAAAACGCUAGAAUCACAAUAACCACACAACAUAACAUACAAGCUACCCAAAUAGUGAUCAAACCAGUUGAAAAGGAAAAACAUGAUCAAAUCAAACACCUCUGUUGAGCUGAACAGAACAACAAUGAUCUUGUUAAACUCUUGUUCAACAAGAACAACACUCACUCAAUAAGAGUUUCUACAAAUUAAGUUGAAAGAUACACUCAUUGCAAGCCACGAAGCGUUCACCCUUAGCAUUAACCCCCGACGGUAUGUGUUUUCCCCAUAGUUCAUAUUCACCAAAUGAGAUUAUCAUAAUCCAAGUCAACAACAAAGCUUAAAAAUAAAUAAUGGACCACACAUAAGUAAAACAAGUUUUCAAUUCCAACAAAUAUACGAUGUUUGAUAAUAUACGUGGUCUCUUGUGUAGGAAUGUAUGGUUGUCAUGGUUUCCUUAACAAUUCAUGGAAAUAUAGACCAACGAUAAUUAAGUGGCUUUAAGCUAGGAAUCAAAUGUUGUUGUUACAAUACUAGCUAUCAAUAUGAUGAGUAUUAGAACUUUUGCUUAGCGAAUUCUUCAUCCAGGAUCUUCACAAAGGGAGCAACACAGUUUGUGGUGCAAGAAGCAUUGCUGUACAUUAAGAAACAUAGGAAUGAAUAUGAAUAAUCAAUAAAAACACGACACUAUCUUGCAUUGACAUUCUCAACUAUGAUACCGUUGUUCUCAACCUCAACAUUCGCAAUGAGGUCAACAACUUAAAUAAUAAAGCCUUACCUUAUGAUGUCGGCUACUUCAUGGCCGUAGUCUUAUAUAUAAUUUUCCCUAAAAAAAAAACUUAUAUAUAAUUUAUAUAGUCACCACUUACCACACAACAUGGAAAUUCUUCAAAAAAUGGUCUGAACGAAAAAACCUAAGGAAACUGUAAUAAUGAUUCGCACUACAAGAAAAUAUAGAUUUUGCUACCAUUAUUUUACUACAAAUUGUGUUGCUAGCAAAUUUGAAUUAAAAAUACCACUGAAAUACCACAAAAAACCAAGUUAUUACUUAUUAUUACUAUUUUUUUUUUUUUUUAAAGAGACGAAUAGAACAAAGUUUAGAAGAAAAUAAACUUGUGUUAAUACAUACAAACACGUAUAAGAACUAGACUAUUUAUAGACUACAUUACUUGAGAUGCAUGUUAAUUACUUGAGAUACAAGUUAACUCAUAUAACAACUUUACAACCAUCUUCUCUAACUAACAAAGUAACUAACUAACUUCCCAAUAUGAAUUAGCUAACUUUUAACAUCGGUUCCAUGGUUCCGAAUCCAUAACUAACUUUUAAAAAAUUUAAAUCAACUAUUUCAAACCCAAUUGUUAUUAUUUGUUGUUGAAAAAAUGUAAAAAACCAAUCCAAAUUGAAUAUUAGAACUUUUUCAAAACUAAAACCGAUCCGAACCGUGAUUCGAACGGUUAAACUGAACUGAUUUUAACCGAUCUCAACUAUUUAUUUAUAUCGGAUAGUCUGUAUUAAUUAGUGCGUCACAUAUUAGUUGCAUCUCAUCCAUCUUUCAAUGGUUUAGCUAGGACUUGGCAGUUUUCACAUGAUCAAUUUUAGGGAAAACAUGUUCAAAAAGAGAAAAAUAGCACUACCUCACAUAAAGUUGAAAUUUGAAGCAAAAAGUAAACAAGUAUAUGGCACACAGAUAUUACAUGUGUUUUAUAUCUUUAUACAUCAAACAUGCUUGAAUUGAAUUUUGUAUCAGUAUAUUUUUAAACUGAUCAUAGUGAAAAAGUUAAUUCUAAUUUGCAUAUAUCUAAUUUUGAAUUUCCCAAGAACAUAGCACUUAUAGUUUUCUUAAAACGCGUUAUGAAUCCAUACUAUAAAGUACAAUUAGUCCCACAUUAUUCCCAGUUGUGGAUUUGGGUCUAGACUCAUAUCAGUGACGUAUAUGAUUAUAGUAUUGAACAAAAGAAAUAGGAAGGAGAUAAGGAAUAUUUUUUUCAAAAGAUAGAACUUGUAAACAUAACAGUGUUAAAUAACUUCCUAAUCAAACAAAUUUGAUAAAAUUCAAGUAACAUCAAAUCAGAUAUGUUAGAUUUGUAAUGAGUAAUAUAUAAAUGAAGAAUAUAUGUUUUUACAAAAUAUCAAAGAUAUUACUUGUCCAAAAGUAAAAUCCCCAAUAACUUUACAGAAGAACAAAAUUUAACUCAUCAGAGCAAAUCUUCAAAAUUGCAUGGCAGCUCCUCUAUAACCAUAUUGUAGAAUUUCUGAAUAUCUAUGAUCAUACUAGUCUCAUCCUCUGUCAUGAAGUUUAUAGCAAAUUUCUCACUCCGGCCUAUACGGUGAAGAUAGUUUUCAGGCACAGUUGGGAGAUCAUAGUUUACGAUCAGAGACGCUUUAUGCACAUCUGCACCACAAAGCUGGGGGUCGGUGGUAAUGAGAACUUGAGGAGAGCUAGACUGGGAAAAAAACUCGCGCGUAACUAUAUCCCUAAUGUCCUGGGAAAAAAACUUGAGGAUGACAAACACUUUAUGAUCUCUGCUUCGCAACUCGUCCAUGAGCCAGUCCACUUUGUCCAUGGUAUUCACAAAGACGAUACAAUGAGUGAUGGAUUUAGCUUUAAGGGUCAGCUCAAAUAUGUCACAUAGUGUCUCUAGCUUCCACUCUUCCUUGUCAACAUCCACAUAAAACUGCUUGAUUGAAGAGGGCCUCCCAAAACCUUCGGAAACAGAAUAAAAAAAACAUCAUACAUAUGAUUUUGUGAAAACUGUGUAGCAAGAGUAGCAUAUAUUGUUUUUUAAAAAAACAUAACACACAUGAUUAUGUCUCUUCAAAUCAGUAAAUAAUUUUGAAACACAAAUAUAUAUGGUAUAAGAGUUAAACUUGCAACAUACUAACUAAGUAUCGUCACAUACCGUGUGAAAACCGAAGAAAAAGUUACAAGAAAGCAUAACGAUAAAAACUUAAAGCAUUCAAAUAAAAUAUGCAUACCUUGAGAAUGAGUCGACGACAACAUGGAUAAAACUAAACAAACAAAAGACUGUGGUUGUGAGCGUUAUUCUGUGUGAGAGCGAUGAAUAAGAAUGAGAAUGGUAUAAGGGUUUCUAAUAUUGGACUUUUAUCUAUAUAUAUUCCAUCUACAAAUAAAUCGUAGUUUGUUAUAAAUUAUUAUGAACUUAUCAUAAUUAAAAGAUUGAAGUUGUUCCUAUUUUAGUGGAAUACUUUAAGAUGGAAUAUAACUGAUUUUUCUUUAUUAAAUAUUUAAAUAUGUAAUACAAAAGAUUUCCUCAAAAAAAAUAAAAUAAUAUAUAAUACAAAAGAUAAAAUUGUAGUUAGAAUAGUUUAAAUGAAGGGUAAAAUAAUAAUAAACCCUUUAUAUAUAGUACAAGCAUUCAUAUGGGUUCUCCGUGUUCGUCUAUCCACUAUUUUUAUUGCGCUAAUAUGUAUAAACUAUGAACAAUAAUUUUUAUAAAAUUUUGAUUUAGAUUAAAAAUAUAGAUAUAGAUAUGUUGCACUUUCAUAUUGUAACAAACAAUAUCUAUCUUUUU
rnacentral:lncRNA from 1 species